rnacentral:lncRNA from 1 species
AAAAAAAAAAAAAAGAAGUGCUCACCCUUUGGUUCAUCCUUGGCCAAAAGUUUUAAGGAGGAAGGAAGAAGAAAGGUUGAAGAGGUUCGGCCAUGCAUGUAGCUAGGCUAAGGUAUGUUUGAUGAUGUUCCAUGAGAUGCAUGCAUGUUUUAGUUGUUAGCUUGAGUCUACCUAGCCCAUGGUCUAAAUCUUGCUAUGUGAUGGAAAUGACACUCGGCCAUGGAUGCAUCAUUCUUGGUUGAUGUUUGAUGUUGUGGUGAUGAGGCAUGAAGAUGAGUUAAGAUUCGGCCUAGGUGGAUUUUGUGUUAAUGCCAUUGCAUGCUAAAUAUGAAGCUUGUUAAUGAUGCAUGUGAUGGUGGAUUGAUGAUUCUUGACUCUCCUUUUUAGCAUUUUUGAGUGAGCACAUAUGUGCAUUGGUUGCUAGAUGGGGAAGAAUCGGCUAGCAAGUUGUGUGCUAAGGCCGAAUAUAACUUUUGUAUGUUAAUGAGCAAUGCAUGUGUUAAAUUGAUGGAAAGGGAGAGGAUGCUUUACUAGUGUAUAUAUGUGCGUAUUAGCCAAGUUUUGAACUUGAAACAAAAGGGUGUUUAGUCAAUACAAGUGACCAUACUUGUAGAAUGUAUUAAGUGUUGAAAUCGGCCCCAAAAUGGACAUGCAUAUUCGGCCAAGGGGGAAAAUUGGCUAAUGUUGAGUUUGAUUCAUGAUUCCGUACAUAUGUGACUUUAAUGUCUAAUGUAUAAAUAUGGGCUAAGUACCUUGUGUUCCUCUUUUCGAUGCUCAAAUGAUUAAAUCAAUUUAUUUGUUUAAUUAAGCUCAAGAGCAAAGGGGAAAUAAAUCCGAUAAAGGGAAGGAAAAAGUGGUCGAAUAGCUAUCGGAAUCGUUCAACAACACCCGAGGUAAGUUCUUGAGUAAGAGAGCUUAAAUUAAGAUUUGAUUAGAUCAUGUUUUAAGCAAAUCAAAAUCAUGCUCUUUGUGUGUGGCUAUUGAGCCGAAAUUGCAAGAAUGAUAAGUGUCUUGUGUUUGAGUUUUGCUAACGAAAAUGAAAUACGAAUGUGCCAUGAUUUAUGGUUAAAUGUGCAUGGUUAUUUGAAUGAUGUCCGGGCUAAGUCCCGAAGGCUUUGUGCUAAGUGACCAUAUCCGGACUAAGAUCCGAAGGCAUUUGUGCGAGAUACUAAAUCCGGACUAAGAUCCGAAGGCAUUUGUGCGAGAUACUAAUUCCGGGCUAAGUCCCGAAGGCAUUUGUGCGAGUUACUAAAUUCGGGUUAAGUCCCGAAGGCAUUUGUGCGAAUUACUAUAACCGGGCUAUGUCCCGAAGGCAUUUGAACGAGGAGCUAUAUCCGGUUAAAUUCCGAAGGUACGUGAUUUGGGAAUGAAUGAUCUUGCUGUAAAAAAUUUCAGUUAAUGCUCUAGAAACAUCCCAACAUUGAGGUAUGUUUCGUAUGUGCUUGAAUUUAGUUGAGCCCUUACAAAUAAGUAUUCGCUCAGUUGAUAAACGAGCUACCGGCCUUUGGCUAAGUUGAUCUUUUGUGUAUGUACAUAAGGGUUGGAAAUGUGAAGCAAGUAUGAUAUCGAAAAUUUGUGCAUAUGAAAUUAUCCGUUUAGCUAUAUGAAUGCUAUACUUUGUUGUGCUGGAAUUCCUUGCUCAAAACUUACUAAGCAUAAAUUGCUUACUCCGUUUCAUUGCUCCUCUGUUUUACAGAUUUGGUUCUCCAGCUAUCGGACUCGGGAUCUUGAAGUCAAAGUCGCCCACACUAUCAAAGCCCCUUUUUGGUACAAUUUUGGUUGAACUUCGAAAUGGCAUGUAUAGGACUACCCGUUUGUUGUGGGUCGUGGACCCUUUGGACUUGUAUAAUUUUGGAUAGCCAUGCGAAAAUGGCUUAUAUGUGUUUGAGUAUAAUGUUAUAAUCAUUCGGUGUGGAUAUGCUUGACAAGGAUUAGCCAUGGGAAUGGUUAAUCACUAUCAUAAAUUGUGCUAUUUAUGCAAAAAGGGCUAGUUGAAUCAUGGAAACCAUGAAAUAGGUAAAGUCUACCUUAAAGGCAGAUGCUGACAGCAGCAGUGAUGUAGAUUUGGAAAAUCACUAAAAAUAUGUAGAUGGGCAUAUGAGUCUAGUUUCAGGGAAAAAUCACGAAACUGAUUUUCGAGUUGUGAAACUCAAGAUAUGAUUUUUAAAGCGACUAGUACGCAGAUUGGCAGUGUCUGGGAAAUAUUUUUUAUAAGGGGUUUAAAGUCUGUUAACACCUCGUGUUCGACUCCGGUGUCGGUCUCGAGUUCGGGGUGUUACAUCAUUGACAAAUGUGAAAAAGGGAAAUUAGCAGAAUAGUGCAUAACAACUACAAACUUACAAUUUAGCUCAGGUAAGUUCGUAUGGUUAAAUUUUUAAUGUUAUUUGUUAAAUUGAUGAAUGAUGAUAUGUAUUUAUUCAUAUUAUUUGUUGAAAAUAAAAUUAUUGUAAAAAUUAUGAAAUUGAAUGAAAUAUUCGAAGUGAAUGAAACACAGGAUUGAGUACAGUCGUUAAGUGCAAAAGAGGAAUUGACAGUAAAUUACCCAAGUAAACUGAGGUUCAGUAUUUGUUGUGAACUCUUGUGUUUACUUUAUGUUUAGCUCUCAUGAGCUUCAGUCAACUCAUAUGAGUCUUAGUUUAACCCUUCUGGGUUUCAGUUCAGCUAUUUUGAGCUUCAGUUUAACCUUUAUGGGUUUCUGUUCAGCUCUUAUGAGCUUCCCUUUAACCCUUACAGGUUUCCAUUUAGCACUUAUGUGCUUUUUUGUAGCCUUUGGGCUUUCGUAUACGAUAUACUCAUAUCCGUAAGAAGUUCACCGAUUUGACAAAGGUUGGUAAUUCAGUAAGUGACAUAUGGAAUUAUUGUUCGUAGACUUAAUGGUUUUAUUGAAUUUGAGAUGAAACAAGUGAAUUCAUUAAUUAAAGUUGUGGUUGACGGGAAAUGUGUAAUGAAUGAUUUAUUUAAAUGAAUUGUUAUAGUAUGUUCGGUAAGAUUUAUGUUUAAAGCCAACGAACUUACUAAGCUUCAUUAAGCUAACUUGUAUUAUUUAAUGUUUUUUGUAGAUUUACGAGAAGUCGAGAGGUCAGAUCAACACAUCGAGUCACACUAUCUAACUUCUCGGUAGAUUUUGCUAAAUAUACUAUGUUUAUAUGGCAUGUUUAGGGAUUGAAAUGGUUAUGUAAAUGUUAAAAUUACAUUUUGGUUAUGUUUCAAGUUAACUUAUAUAUGUAUGGUUUGUCAUGUUUGGUAUAAAUGUUGGUAUGGGUAUUGAAUGAAAUGGGUAAAGCAUGUUAAUAUAGGUGGUUGCAUAUGUGAAUUAAUUUAUUUUCUAGUUUAUAUUGUUGAAAUAUAUGUGAAAAUAUAAUCAUAUUAAAGUUAGGAAUUGGUUGUUUUGGAGAUCUUAUUAUGGCCUAUAUGUAUGAAAUUGGUGUGUGUAGGUUGAAGUAAAAAAUGGGUGAGAAAAGAGGCCAUAAAAUGACCUAUUUUCAUCCACACGGGCAGAGAACGGGCAUGCGUCUCAGCCAUGUAUGAUACAUGGCCUAGCACAUGGGCGUGUGGCCUGGCCAUGUGUCCCCUACACUUUAAAAUAUCAAAACAGAAUGCCUAGGUUUUUGCACAUGACCUAGCAAAAUUAUGUUUAUUUUAGGCUUAUAAGAGAAAAAAUAAAAGGUGUAUGUGCUCAUGAGGCUUGAGCCCAAAAGCUCAAUCUAGUUUAAAUGGGUUAAUUCUCUCACUUGCACAUGAUACUAGGCCUGAUUCAAUUUGCUUUCUACGUUUUUUUUUAUUUUACUAUUUUUGUCAAACUAGGUUACUUGAUUUUCUUAACAUUAGAAACAAACCAAAUUUUCUUAAUAAUUUUCAGCAGAUAUGUUUUUUACUUUUAACAUGCAUGGUACCUAUAAAUGCAAUGCAUGACAGCCUUCUGAGUGAAUCUAUCAAUUUACUUCUAUUAAAAUCUUCCUCUAUUCUCUCUCAGAAAAAAAAACUCUCUACUAUGAUCUUGGUUGAGUAUUUAAUUGCUUUGUUCUUUUUUGCUCCCUAUUCUCCUAUUGGUUAAUAUAAGUGCUUAUUGCAUCCUGAGGGAUACUCAAAUCCGAAAAAUAUCUUUAAGGUUAGUGUUAUUCACACCUUAAGAAGCAACUCUAAUAUUCUAUAUAUUUAGUUUCUAACAAUCCUAAGGAUAUUUGGAUAUUGUUCACUUUUUUUAUACUCAUAUUCGUUAUUGUCGUUAUUGUCAUGAUGUUACUUGUGUCAUAAUUCUAUGAAGGUAUCAUGUGUCUACUUUUAUUGUUGUCUUGCAAUACAUAUCGUGAUCGUUAACUAGUAUUAAAAGGGGUAAAGAUCUAAAUAUUUCUGAAAUAUAUAGUUUUGAAAAAAUAAAAUUUUGAUCACAUAUAAAGUGUGCUAUUUCUAUGAUUAAUUGUCCCAAAUGAAUCAUGAAUCAAUAAUUUCAUAUUGCAAAAACUUGUUUAUUAUUAUUAAAAAGAUUAGUGGGUUUUAAAUUGAAAAUUAAAAAAAAUGAAAUUAUCAAUUUAGUAAUAAUAUGAAUCUACUUAUUCAUAUUAAUUUUCCCUUUAAUAUGAGUUAGAUCAAACAUUGAGUUAUAUAUAUAAACUACAGUUUUAAGAAUAAUAUAUUAAUUUGUAACCAUGAUAAGAACUUCUCAUUUACCAUGCUAUCAUAUUUGAUUGAAAAUGCAAGUUCAAUUUAUUUACUUUUCCAUGUGAGUUGAAUUUAUGUUUAAACGUGAUGUAUGAUAUAUGGUUACAAACUUAAAAUAAUUUUUUUAAGAAAAUAAUAAAUAAGAGGAAAACUAUUUUCUGUGGUGAAUUCAUAGUUGGUUGCUGGAAAUAAAUGUGAAAGUGUGAAAGUGCAUGUCUAAGAAUAGUUAUGGCUAGGAAAACCUUGGUACUUCAGAGUGUCAUAUACACCACCCCUCUUUUGUAGAAAUCUACUUGGCACUUUAUUCAUCAACUAUAUCAACUAUGCUCAAUAUUUGAGUAUCUAAUUGUGAUGACAAAUUAGGCCACUAUAUAACUCAGUGCAGAAAUCAAUAAUGGAGAAAUGAAAAUCCUAUUAAGUCAAAUGUCAAUUUGCUCGAAGUAGAUGAUAUAAUUGUGUGGUCAUUUCUCAAGUCAAUAUUUUGGCUAAUGUGAAAUAGUAGCUGAUAAAAAGUGGUGUCACUUAGCACAUUAGUGGUAAUUAAAAUACUUUUUGUCCUAUUCACAAUUGGAAGAAGGAGAAAAUAUUGACUAUCUUAGAAACUCUUGAAACUACAUGUUUUUGAAAAAUGCAAGGUUCUACGUCUAGAAAGACUUCAGCUUAAGUGGGGUACUUCAUAUUCUUAAUGUCUAAAUCUAUUUGGUUUUAGUUGGAUUAUUAGGAAAAAUUGAAGUGAAAAAUUCCUUCGAUUUGUGACAAGGUCAUGAUAACUUAAAAUAUAAUCUUGUGAGAAAAGGUUUUUGUAACCAUAUAUUAUUUUUUGUUUGAUUUAGAAAUUAUUAGUGAUAAUGUUAAUCUAUCUGAUUGCCUGAUUGAAAUAUCAUAAUCUAUGUGACGUGUUAAAUUUAUAAAUAAAUGCUCACUAUUUUGACCCAUUUACAAAUCAGUCCGUUUUCUAAAACUAAAGACAUUCAAUACUCAUUUCCAAAAAUUGACUUAACCUUAUGAAAGCCAUUGUCGAAAACAUUAUCAAGUACCAACCUUACGAAAUUCCGAGCUCAUAUAGGACAAAAUUCUUAAAAUACCCUCUACUGUGGGGUGUGACAAAAAUAGAAUUUAUUCUUAAUUGAUAAAUUCUCACUACUUUAUGACAGAAUAACGAUGUAUCAAAACUUAUGGUUUUAGGUCAAUCGAUGUUCUCUCUUUAUAGGAAGAGAAGAAUCUUGAUUAAAUAAAAGAAUCUUGAUUAAAUAAAACUUAAAUAAAUAAUGUUAUUCUAAUAAAAAAUUACUCUCCUAAUCUAACUACGAGAGGGUGGCAUACCCUAUUCCUUUUGGGUUAUCACCUCUCAUAUGUUAUGUGAGGUAGAUUGGGUCUUUCUCAUGCGUUGAGUCCAAUUACAUGUACAUUCUGAACUUUUGAACCAAUACUUUCUAAUUUAAUCAACUUAAUAUUUAUUUUUUUAUUUCUCAAAAUAAACUUAUUUAUUUAAGCUAAUUGAAUUAAUUUUUCAAUUAAAUAAAUUUCUCAACUCAAUUCUAAUUUCGCUAAAUACAUGACAAAUUUACCAUAAAAUAAUCUAUUAAAAAUAUAUUUCAUUUUCUUAUUUAAUGGAUUCAUGAUUACUAAUUUAUUUUAUUUUAUUUUUUAACAUUAAUUAUUUAACUAUAAUUAAUUAAAUAAUAAUUCAAAAAUCUUAAAUUAAUUCUUAAGUCUUUUUUAUACUUAGUGAGAGAACAGAUUCAUAUGUGAAAGUAACCCACUUUUCUAACUUUAUCAUUCUCAUUUAUUUUUACUCAUUUUAUUCUACAUGCAAUUCAUUUAUGAUUUCAACAAGCUAACAGAAAGACCUAUUGUACAUAUAUAAUUAGGUUCAAAUAAUUUAUAAUUAGGUUCCAACUUUUCGCUUAUUAACUAUAAACUUAUUUAGUCACGAAGUCAUUCUACUAUAGUAUUGUGACUAAAUUUUACCUAAUUACAUAUCACUACAAAAGCUAUUUAAUAAGUGUUUGUCCAAUAAUCUUGUCAUUAGUAUGUAGCCCUCCUAAAUAUACUUAAAGAGAUAAAUUCAUUCUCCCAAAAUGAUCUUAUUUUAUCUCAUGGUAAUCAUUACAUCUUCUUUCAUAAAAAAUCAAUUAUUAUCGAAUAGUAAUCAAGUCAUUUAUCACAAAGAUAAAUGACUUGUGACCACGUUUACUUUUCAUCUAUCAUGUAAUGUCAAUAAAAGGAUAUCAUUUACCCUUUAGUUAAGUUAUGAAUUUCACUAUUGUAAAUUAUGCUAAAUAGUAUAGUAGUCGUAUACCCAACACAUCUAUGUCUCUAUCUUUUGGGAGUCAUCCAUUCUGAUACCCAUGAAAAAACAUCACCCCGAUUGAAUUUGAUACAUGACAUAUUAAUAUUUCAAUUGGUUUACUCAUUUUCGAUUAAAUUAAGAACAUAUCUACUAAUACAAGUUAUUUUUUACGACAAAAUUGUAAAUUUCAAUGGGUUAUGUCACCAAGGAAAAAACUCGAGCAUGAGAGUUUGUAGUGGCAUGGUUCCCCAUGAAAACAAUCAAUGUGUGGUGGUAGGUAUGUGUUGGUGUUUAUGGUGUUGAGCUGGGAAGAAGGUGUGAGUUGAUUGAUAGUUUUCAUUUUUUUUGUUAUUUUCCUCUAACAUUUGUAUCUUUUCUUUGUUUGACUUCACUAUUUCAAGUGAAAAUUAAAGGAAAAACAUGACUAUUUUCACUAAAAGUAUUUCCUCAUCCCAAAUAAAGUCAUCAAAAUAUAGAGGGUUCUUUUGUGAGUUAAGGAGAUGUUGCAAUCUAAAAAAAAUAAGAAGUCGUGAAGAGAUGAUAGAGAGAUAUAUUGAAACAUACUUUGAAAAACAAGUGCGAUAACAGGUGGUGGUAAUCAACGCAAUAAAAGACUGAGAAUGAUAAGUGUUAAAAUAGUUGUUGCAAUUGUAGAAAGAAAGUUUUAAAGAGAAUUUUAGUGUGCUAAGUUUGCCAAAAGAUCAAAAGGCCUAAAAUGAGAUCUUCAAAUCUCUAUUUAUAGGCAUUUAAAAAGAAAGUAAAAAAGGAAACGGUUAUGAAAAGAAAGUGGGCAUGAACAUGCUAAAAUAAAGAGUAGUGAAAUUGAAAAGGGUUUCUUCAACAAUAAGAGAAAAUGAAAAGUAAAUUAUAUGGAUAAUAGGUACAAUAGUAGUUGCAUCAUAAUUAUACUUAAAGACAUUUUAACAAGGAGAGUCUUAAGUGAAAUUGCAUUAUUCGUUCAAUAAAAAAAAAGAAUAAAGCACUUGUAUUCUAAAAAAAAAAAAAAGGUAAAAAAGUUAAGUUCUUAAAAGUAUCUUUAUCUAACCCUCCAAAUCAUGCUCUUUAGGACACACUAAAGUGAAACAACUCACUAAUCCUACCAACCUUCCAAAGUUGUUCCCAAAGAUAACUGUUCACAAUUUGAAGUUAUUCUCAACGAAGUUAUUCGCAAAAGUGCUCAUACAAGAAAUUAUAUUUCUUUGAGACUGCUAAUAUAGAAUAGUUGGCAACCAAAAUCAAGUAUCUAUAGUCCUAAACCUAGGCCAACAAAUGAUCUAACUUUUAGAAAUUACUAGGGUAGAUUAGAUAAAUAUUCAACAAACUAUUAGUGUUUUUGUUUAUUUGCUGAGAUUUAAAAUUUUCUAUUUGAGUCACUAAUAUUAUUGAAUUUUUUUUUUACACAUCCAUUAAAUUUUUAAUGAGAUGCUAAGGUGGUCAUUUUUCAAUGGCAUAAUAAUAAAUUUAACCUUCUAAAUUUUAUAAUUUCUAUCAAUUUGGUCAUAAUUUUUUAUAGAAAAUUCAACAAAUUUAACCCUCAUCUUUACAUGUUAUGUCAAUUUACCAUUGAUUUUAAAAAUUCAAAAGUAAAAACUUCAAAAAAAUUCGAUAAAAGUACAUAAGAUUAUAUAAAAAUGCUUUCAAAAUUAUAAAUAAAUAAAUACCAACAUUUUUCUCUUUUUAACAUGAAAUUUAUUUAUUAAAAUGAUUUAUAAAUAAAAUAAUUUUUUUAAAACACCCACAAACAAAACUUUAACCAAAAUUUAAUUUUUAUUUUUAUUUUAUAAAUAAUAAUUUUUUAUUAUAUGUCUAGCCUCGUUUCAUAGUUUUUACCAAAUUUAUAGAGCGUUGGGCACUACCGUCGCUUAGAACUACCAACACCAAUAACUCUUAUUCUAAACUCCUCAAUUUCCAUAUUAUCAUACCAUGAAAUUAAAAAUCAACAAUGAAGCAACCCACAUAACCUUCAACAAAGUCUCUAAGAAGAGCUUGUAUUUACCCAACUCAUGCUUGUCCUAAAACACAACCUUAAAUAUAACAAACUCUUUACUUUCAAUAACCUAAAUACGUCGAUUCAAUCUAAACCUGGUGAUCGUCAAUGUUGAAAAAAGAAAAUAGUUGAAUGCUUCAAUAUUUUUUCCUUAAAUUGUUUUAUUUAUAAAAAUGUCAUUUUAAUAAAUAAUAUCUCGUUAAAAAUGAGGAAAUAGAUAUUUAUUAAAUUUUAUUUUUUUAUUUUUUUAAAGUUCUUUAAUUUUAAAUUUUAAAUUUUGAAUAAAGUUGAGAGUUAAAUUUAUCGAAUUUUUAAAAAUUAAAACCAAAUUAAUAGAAACUAUAAAUAUUAAAAGACUAAAUUUAUUAUUAUAACAAUAAAAAUGAUCAUGUCAGCACUUCAUUAAUGAUUUAAAGGAUUCAAGGGAUGAGAUACCAAAAUAUUAAAUUCUGAUACUAUUAAUGACAAUAAAAAAAUUUAAACUUCAGUGAUCAAAACAAAUACACGAGUGACUAUACCCAAAUUAUUAAUAUAGAACCACUGGCUGAUAUAAGUCGAAACACACUGCUAGCAAUAUUAAAAGACAAAGUAUUCAAAAUUUCUGUUAUAUAAUUUUAUCAAUUUUAAUGUCGAUUUAAUUUCGAAUUUGUAAUUUCUAUUAUCCUAAGCCAAACGUCAAAAUUUGAGCAUGCCUAUGUAAUCAAGUAGCACCUCGACAUGGCAUAAUGUACAGGAAUACUGUUCAAAAAGAAAGUGCCACAUUCUUGUUCGAUAUAACCUUUUUUUAUCCGUAUCCCAACAUUACAUAUACUCCAAACAUAUGCAAAAAAGAAAAAGAAAAAGAAAAAAAGAGGAUAUAUCAGUGUCAUACAUACCUGAAUGUAUCUGCACUCACUAACCUACUAGAAAACUAGGAUAUAGACAAAUAACAUAUUUUAAGUUAUUCACAUACGGUCAAUUACGUUUAAAAGGGUAUUGACUUUAAACAUCAAAGAUAACGUGUGAUAAGAAGAAGCAAGACCUACCUGACCCUAAUUAUUUGCUGUCGCUACUACCACCAUACUGUGUAGAAUUUCCAUUCCAGAACGGAUUUCUAUCAGAGAAACUGUCAUCGUCUUCAUGACGUUUUAGAGUGUGAAUAUUGCUGCCAUGUUGAGUGGUCACAGCUCGUCUGCUCCUGCCACCGUCACUGGCCAUUGAAGUGCUUCUAUUUCUUCCACCCAAGUUAUUCUGCACUGUAGGAUUUGGACCUAUAAUUGCAACCAAGCCAGAUGAAUGAGAAAUGACUAAUUUCCGAGUAUGGCCCUAACGAUUAACAGACUAUGAUACCCCACCUCUUCCCCAAGACAAAAUGCCCGCAUACAUGAAAAACUAAACAAAUAAGAUUGCUACAAAAAUGCAGGCUAACCCCCUUCAACAUCUCUCUUAGAAUUCACCAAGAAGAUCCAAAUUUUGGGCCAUCAAUGACCAGGACAUACAGUUGUUUUGAAUCUUUUUUUUUUUUUUUUUCUUGAGUACCUGUUUUGGUGCAUAUUCAAAUAUGGGUACGAAGAUAUGACCCUCUAAGGAUCCUCCACAUACAUGAAAAUGUUACCCAUGUCCAACACAUAUCCAUAUGCAACCAAAUACGACGGAGAUGCAAUUACUAAAGAUGUGAAAAUUGAACAUCUAGGAAUUGCAUUCUUGUUAGAUAAGAAGGCAACUACCUUUUUCAGACUAGGAUUCUCAAAAUCCCAGUUUAGAAAUUUAUAUACGAAUAGACUUAAAAUAAGGAAAAUCGAAUAAUUUUCAAUUAUAUCACCUUCAAUUAUACGUGACAUUCUAUAUCCUAAUCCUCAUAAGUAAAUCCAGCUUAUAUACAGGCUUGCUCUCUUCAUGUACACCACAUGCAGUAUAUUUAUGCAACUAUGUAUAACGGAACAGACAUGUAUACUUAGCCUACAUUAGUUUAGAAGAUUAAAUAGGCCAUGGAAUAAACAUUUCAACUCAUGGCCUUCAGCCUAGCAGAACAAAGAAAUUAACAUCAACAGCAGAUUGACUCACUGUAUUCUGAGAUGCCACUUUGAGAUUCCUGUCCAGUAGUUGAAGAGCUGGCACCACCACUGAGAUAAGCAAAAGGAUUUACAUAAGACAAAAAGCUUUUGAUGUAUGAAAAAUAUCCCCCACUGCUUCCUGCAGAAUCUUCUAUAGGUGUCAAAUUUCUAUUGUCAUCAGAUGGUCUUUGCCCUUGGAAACCAGCGGUUCUCCGACGUGGAACUACUAUCAAUGCUUGUCUGUUAAGCAGACCCAAGUCCAAUAAAGAUUUAAUCAGAUCUGCAGGCAAGAAGAGAGCAACAGUGGUGAAUGGCAGACAUUUCAAAAGUAUGUUCCCUUACAUAAGUAUAUUUUAAAGACAUGGAACAAUCCUCAUAUGUGAAGGCAAUGCAAUGUUACAACUUUAAGAACAUCUUGGCCAAGUUCCAACACAUCUUCAAUGCAAAGAAAUUAGAACGUAUAUUAUCUACAAGUAAACACCAAAACGAUAUCAUCACAGAAUAGUGUUCACAUAAAGAAAAAAGGGAUCAUCCCUUGUAGUAUUAAAAGAAUGACCUUCAAAUACCAAAAAGAAUUACAUUCAAUCUGUAAUAAAGCACCUGAACAGAGCUACAGAGCAUCCAACAUCCGGUAAUCUGGCCAGAUAUUCAACAUUACUAAUUUGCAACAUGCUUCUAGAUACCAGCUUGGGAUGGGCAAAGUUCAGCUAAAGUAAUGCAAUAUCUGAACUGAGAAAAAACUAAAUAAGCCACAUUGAUUUUAAAGAUGUAAAAUGCAGAGUCAUACCUUGAUCACCAAAUAACUUGCGAGGAUAAGGAAUGGCAAAAUCAUAGAAGCCCAUGCCAUUUGAUUGGUUUCUAUCCACAUAGUCUUUAAUCAUACUCAGUGUGUAUGUCACAGGAAACUUCUCCUGUAGGCUACUACUGUCAGGUAAUCGGAUAUUUAAAUUGACAUCAGUUGGUAUGUGUGCCGUUGUAGUAUUUUCUAAUGCACCAUCUACUUUAUCCUUCACAUGUUGCAUGUCUUUCUCUGCUUCUGCAGCACUCACUGGCAUACUUCCAGCAGGACAACUUGGCUGAUGAUCAGUGCGCUUUACUGGGAUGAGACAAUCAUCUUCAGGAUGAGAGGAUGCAUGAACCGCUGGAUUUGAAGUAACAGAACUAACAACUGUCCUCAUUUCUUCAUUGGUAAUAUCACAUUGUUUAGCUAAGUUGUCAGUGCUAAAUGAUUCUGAACUACCAUUUUCAACCAAUUCAGGAUUUUUCUCCUGUAACAUCAGCAUAGAAAAACAAUCUUAUAUAAAGCAAAGUUUUUAAACUUCCAAAGGACUUCCCCUUCUACCUGGUGAUGACAGCACAUGCCUCUUAAUUUUGCACAACACCCUGUAUUGAAGUCUAAGUGUCCUCCUUCACCGAAACUCCCAAUUAUAAGACAAAAAUUAGAAAGCACUUACAAAAAACAGCCAGCAUUCAAAAUUACCUUAACUGUUUGCUCACAAUCUCUGUUUUCCUCCAUCACCACAGACAUAACAGAUAGGUUAGACUCCAAGGUCUGGACAACAUUGGCCAAUGUGGUUGAUGGAAUAGAAGCACUUGAAGAACUUCCUUGUUCAGACUGGCUAACAGCAGAUGCCCCAGAACUAGAUGAUUCAUAUUUCUUUGAAGCAAGUGCAGCACUAAGGACAGCUGCCGUUGUUUCCUGCAGUUUUGAUAAGAAACUAAGAAUGCUAAGAAAUCCAAAAUGAAAACCUGAAUGUGGUAAAUGUUUUUUAGGAUUUUAUCACUAACUGGGGAAUAGUCCUAAACUCAAUCAUAACCAGCAAACCUGGAUAUGAAGACUCAACCAUGCCUUCUCUAAACUGGAUGCCAAAACUUCAGCACUAAUACUCCCUUCUGGAAGAGUUCCACAAAAGAAAAUAAUUGAUUAUUUAAAACACCUUUCCAUACAUAUUACAUGGUUCCACAAAAUUAGAGGAAAAAAAGGAUUUACAGAAGAAACUUUCAUACCACUUUGCCAAACUUGUACACCGUUAUAUCCAAUUGCAGUUAUACAUGGGACAGAUUUCUGCGGGUCUGUAUAAUGUUGAUGCAAGGAUUUUUUUCUCCCAUUAAAACUGGUAACAGAUAAGUACAAUAGGAGUCAAGAAAUAUCAGCUGAAACAUGUCUGAAUCAGCUGCACAUUAUAAGUGGCCAUUGAAAUGGUAGACAUGGCUGAUUUAAUCCACCCAUUGCUUGGCAGAUUAAAAAAUGAGAGGAAAAAAAAAUGAAAAGUACAUUGGUUUAUAAUUAUACUCGUUGCAAGUUAAAGAUAGAAAAAAUAAAAUAAAAAAAUUAAAGAUUUAGUAAAUACACAUAUUAACUCAUACCACUCUCAUUUUCUUUCAUCUUUUAGGUCCAAUUUGAAGUGAUUUGUGUUUGUUAAUAGAUGUGGAAAAUAAUAUUCUGCCUUAUUUUUUCCUCACACUCCUAUUUCUGAGGAAGACAUGCCAAAAGUUCAUAUUCUUUCCAUUUUUCCACCCUCUUCUAUCCAUCCUUACACUUUUCCAUCCUACCAAGAAUGCCCUUAGAGUAACUAUAAGCAAAUGAUAUAGUUAACAAUCGAGGAUUAGGAUACAUAUGGCAGAAAAAUUUGCAGCAUCGGUCCUUCCACCACAGAUAUGCAAUAGAACGCAAUACUUUGACAGUGACUCUUUUACCUGAAUCCAUUACCUGAAUCCACCAUGAUAAGAUAUAGAGCACAAAUAUAAGAAAAAAGGUUAAUUUAAGACGAAAAAACUUAAAAUCAACAAUUAAGAAAAAAAAUAAUACUUUUAAGUCAGUCCAGGUAGAAUCCUCCAUGUUUUUCGACUCAGAAUCUUCACCUUAAAUCCCAAUAAGCAUAAAAAAUUAGUAAUCAGUAUCACAAUAAAACAAAAAAGAACAGUCUUUUUCGAUCAAAAUACUAAAUUUUAAAAAAAAAUUGUAAAAACGGAUCAAAUAAAGAAGAAGAGGCUACCUGAAAUGUAGACCACGAAAAGCUUCUUCUGGAUUUUAGCUUCAAGAAUUGCUUCAGGAAUUGAACCUUUGAAUGUAAGAGAUGAGAAAGAUUCGGACCUUUCCAUCUGUUAUGAAACAAUUAGAUUUUAAAAACUUAAAAUUUGCAAUUACGUAUCUCUUUCGUUAUCGAAAUAGAUUGUCUCAAAUAUUCCAGUAUACAUUUCUAUAUGCACUUGUAAAUAUAUAUUGAACAAUCCGUAAUUUCUAAAUACCCUAAAAUAACAACAAACUGAGAGUACAAAACCCCUAAAUUAAUUAGAACGUUUGAAAAUAUGAUAAAAUCUUCUACUAUUAGGGGAGGGACUAAAGCGAAUGAUUAAAUCAAAUUAGAUUAGAUUAAAAUUAAAUUAAAAGAAACAGAAACAGAAAAGAUUUCGGCAUAAAAGAAACAGAAACAGAAAAGAUUUCGGCAUACCUUGGACUUUUAGGAAGAAUCUUAAUAAAAUCUUAAAAACAAUAAUACAUAUUAAAAAUGAAGAAAUGUGAUAAGGAGGAGCUCUGAAGAGUUUGAAGAGAGAAUCUAUGAAGGAUUGACGCGUCAGCUUUUUAAUCUCGCCACGUAUACUUUCCAAAAUUAUUUUUUUUGUUUUUUUUGUUUUUUGGUUAAUUCGAAUUUUUUUUUUCACUAGAGUUGGUAGUCGUUAAAAAAAAUCAACCAAUGGGAUUGCAUCACCUCUUCAUCCAUUAAAAUAUAAUUAAAAAGUAAUUUUAUAUUAAUAUUAAAAAAAAACUAAAAAAUAUUACCCCCCCCCCCCAACAUCCCCGUCCCAUUGUUUGAGAGAGGGUGAAGAAUUCUUUGUCAGCAUUCUCUUAUUCAUGAAGGGCGAGCAGCAGCCGCUAAUGAAAAGCACUAAUUAAUUUUCUUUGAUGUUAAUUCCAAUGUGACGAUAACGUAAUGCAAUUGUUUAUCUCAAGAAUGAUGCACUAAUUUGAUUAGUCAUAAAAUUUAUCAACCAUCAUAGCAUUUAUCCAUUCCAGUUACCAACCUGCAAAGUAUAUAUAGUAAUGAAAAGGGGGAGAAGAGGAAAAACGGUGGGGGAAAGGGACAAGUGAGGGAGGGGUAUUUUUUAUUUUUAAUAUUAAUAUAAUUAUUUUUAUUUAAUAUAAAAAAUUUUAAAUUAUAUUUUAAUAGAGUGGUGAUAUGGCGUAAUCCCAUUGGUUGGAAUUUUUUUUAAAACAACAGGGAUCAACUUCAAUAACAAAAUCAAAAUUUAGGUACCCAAAUUAACCAAAAAAUAAUUUAGGUACCUAACUCAAACAAAAUCAAUACUUUAAGGGUAUUCUAUUCAAUUAAGUUUUUUUCUUAAAAUGAAAACUCAAAAAUAAAAGUAAAAAACAUAAGGCUUACACAAUAAAAUUAUACUUAAAUUAUACUUAUUUUUUCAAACUAAUACUUAAAUAUUUUUAUGUCACAAGUGAUACCUAAACUAUACUCAGUUAUCCAAAAUGGUACUUGAACUAUGCUCGUAAAAAAUCUCUAAGCCAACCAUUUUGUUACAUGUGGUAAUUUUUAAAUAAAAACUCCAAAAAAUGUUAAAUAUUAUUUCCUUAAGUAAAACGUUACAAACAUAUUCAUCUCUUUUAUUCUUCACCCAAUAAUUCUGAUGACAAAAAAUUCAAGAAUUCGUCGAAAAUCUCAUCCAAACCCAGUUUUUGGUAACAAAAUCCAGAUUCUAAAGAGCUUCAUUUCCUUUUUAAAUCUCGAUUCCAAUUCCUUCCUCACCCCCAAUUCAAAAUCUAUGCAUUAUUUUUCUUAAAAAUAACAUUUUUCAUUCUUUUUUAUGUACUUUAAAUAAAAUAGUUAAUAUUGGGUGAACUUCUAUAAUAGGAAAAAAAAAAGAUAAAUCAUGAAAUCCAAAUACAAAGAAGAAACUAAGUAAAAGGAAAUGGAAAGAGGAUUGUGAUUUGCCACAAUUCGUUGUGGCAAACUAGAGUCUUUUCAACACCUAAUAAGUUUGUUUUCAAGCCAUUUCAUGUCUUUUCGUUACAUUUUCUAUUUUUAAUAGCUUAAAUUUAAUUUUAGUAAAAUAAGUGUUUUUACGCAUAUUUUGGUAAUGUAAAUGAGCUGUCAAGCCAAUACGGGCCUAGGAAAGGACUGAUGAGUCACUUUAGUGUGCAAGAAACCAUUUUUAGGCUAAGGAACACCAAAGACAACAUCAGUAUGCAGUAUCGCAACACCUCAUUUCAAAGCUAAAUAUGUCCUGUGAAGUUCAGUUUCGCAACACUGGUGCAAUAGAGUGCAAAUUAGGGCUAAGGGUGUUUCCAUUCGCACAAUGAAAUUUUAUCAAUUUUAAGGCUUGUAGUUGACCUAAUUAAGCUAGCUAAUCUUUUAGAUUGAGCCAAUGAGGUUGUUUAGAGAGUAGUUUUUCAUAUUUUAGAUUUAGUUUUCAAUUUUUUCUUUAGUUUUAUUUUUUAUGUUCGCUUAAUCGGGAAAUCCUAUUCCGAAAUUAGAUGAUCGCGAGCGGAAAUUGUUCUGGAGUCGUCCUUUUUGCAUUGAUUAAUCUAUGAGCAUUCUCUAUCUCUUAUUUUAUAUUUUUACUUAUAUUUCUUUCUUUAACUUUGUUGAUUGAAUAUUUAUGUAAAUAUUAGAAUAAUUUGUGCUUUAUACAUAUUUUGCAUAAUUUGAUUGUUUCGUUAGUUCAUUGAUUAAGUAAAUAAUAACCUAAAAUUAAGUAUUUAUUCGAUAGUACUUAAUAUACUAGGAAAUGAUGCCCCUAGUAGAAGAUCUAGAUAGGUGACACCGAAAAGGUAUCAUGUUGAGUAGAACUUUUACCAAGCGGUGAAACCAAGAGGGUAUCCGUAUGCCUAGGUGAGUCCAAUAGGGUAUUUUAGGUGGUAAUUGAAACACCCCAUACCCGACCAAAUCGCUAGAUCCAGACUAUAAGGUGCUACAUUUCAAUAACUAACUAAUUAACCCGUACCUUAUCGAAAUAUGUCGCCAGUUGGAAAUCAUAGAAAUCAUUUAAUAUUAACUCUUAAAAUAUAAAUUUAACUAAGAAUAUUUCGCGUGCCAAAUAAAAACAAUCUAAUGGACUUUUAUAACAUACAUGAAUUAGUUGUUAAACUUAAGGAAUUUAAUACAAGUUAAGACCUAUAGAAAAACACUUUCAACAGCCAUUCCACAACAAUGAAUUAAUUACUUGACUUGAAAUUUAAAAUUCUACAUUAAAUUUUAUUUACAACUCGACUCGGACCCUGAGACUCCACCUUUGGGUUGCCCCACUGUAAGCGCAUCACUACGACCACAAACUAAGCUGCCUGAGCUUGGUGAAUUCUGGCCUAGUCUCUCAUUGUUUCCUUGAAUCAAACACCAAGCUUGCAAUUCAUAACGAACACUCUGGUAAGUUCAAUUGGACCUAAUGAGUGGUCCAUACCUGGCAUCAACAUAACACUAUUGAACUGAAAUUUGGACAUUCAGAAGCCACAAGACUUUGCUAGUGCAAAACACAUACGUCAAAUCUUGAUGGCGUAGUCUUGAUUGCGUAAUGUUCCAUUGAUGAAACUUUAACAAUGUACAAUAAGGGAUAUACAGAUUGAGAUGUUCAUAUGUUAGCAGGUAAUGUAACACCCCUUACCUGUACUCGAGAUCGGGACAAGGUACGAGGUAUUACCGUACAUAAACAGGGCAUUUACGAAAAAUACGGGUCAUACCAUUUUGUUCCAAAUUAAAACAGAUCAAACAAGAUCAUUUUAUCCUUAUUAUGGACCUACGAUCAAACAAAAAAAUUGACAGUAAAAAGGAUCUAACCCGGAUGGGUGAUCCUAUCCUGAUACAGCCCUCCCGAAGAAUAUGUGUAAAAUGGAUUUAGUUCGGACGGGUAAUUUGAAUUAGGGUUUGAAUUUAGCCUAGACUGGUAAUUCAGAUCCAAGCUCAUUAGAGUAAUUGUCGUUGCAAGGGAUUUAGCCUGGACUGGUAAUCUCGACACUACUCUAUGAGUUUAUAUUACAAGGGAUUUAGCCUGGACUAGUAAUCCUACUGUAAGGAUGAGGCUCGCGGGAGUGUGCUUUCUGAAAUGAAAUGUGUAAGACCAUAGUUGAAAGAUACCAUGGCAACAUGAUAUGAAAUGUGUAAGACCAUGGUUGAAAGAUACCAUGGCAACAUGAUAUGAAAUGAGUAAGACCAUGGUUGAAAGAUACCAUGGCAACAUGAUUGAAAUGAAUAAGACCAUGGUUGAAAGAUACCAUGGCAACAUGACAGAAAAUAAGUAAGACCAUAGUUGAAAGACACUAUGGCAUCAUGUCGAAGAUAAACAAGAUCGUGGAUGAGAGAUGCCAAGACAUCUGUUGAACAACUAAUAUUCAUGUAAUAUGUACCAGAUGAUGAAUGGUUAUAUGAAUUGGUUAUACAAAAUGGUUGUGUGAAAUGUUUACAAGAAUUGGUCAUAUGGAAAUAUAUGUACAAAAUAGUUGUAUGAAAUAAUUAAGAAGAUAGACAAAUGAAAUAAGUAUAGGUACAUGGAAUUUAAUUUAUGUUAAGUUUAAGAUGAACAAUUACCGAAAUAAAUAUACAUAAGAUAUAUAGAAAUGAUGGUGCAUGAAAUAUUGAUAUAACAAAAUGAAUGAUAUAUGCUUAUGAAGAAACGAUAAGAGAAUAAUAUGUUUCGUGACAUGUACAUAUAUGAUUAUAUUUGAUAUGUUGAUACAAGAAAAUUAUGUAAAUUAAGACUAUUAUUAAACCCAAGUGUGAUAUGUCAAGAAAAUAGGUAUAUCAAUGUUGAAAUUAUAUGAAAUAUGUACAAGUAUACUAACAAUGUUGCUGUUUGAUAGUUAGACAAGUGUCAAGCAAUUGAUUGAACGGUAAUAUGUUAAUUUAUAUGAUGCAUUGAAUCAGUAAGUAUUUAAUUGAAAUUUUUGUUAAAUGAUAUGUAAAUCCUAAUAAUGCCCCGAAACCUUAUUUCGACAAUAGAUACGAGAUAGGGGUAUUACAUUUAGUGGUAUCAGAGCUAAGGUUUAGUCGGUUCUCAGACCGAACGUAGUAUAUAUGAAGUCUAGAAAUAUAUGUCAUUAUAUAACUUGUGAUAGUAUGAUAUCUCCCAACUCUGAUGGGAUUUGUUUUACUGAUAAAAUGGCAUGCUUUCCAAUCGAGAUAAUUUUGAUAAUGCUUAAGUAUAUGAGUAAAAAAUUGAUUAUGAUAAAUCGGGAUUCAUAAAGGUAUGAAUAAAUGUUUUAUAAUACAUGUCGAUGAUAUUACUAAAAGUAAAUUAUACUGCUACACGAAAUAUUGUGCUGAUGACUAAAUCACAAAAUAUAUAAAAGUAAUAUAUGAAGUACAUGAUAAGGAUUAUUAGGCAAUUAUGGAUGAAUAACGAAUUUUGAAAUAUAUUAUGUAUUAAAGAUACAAAAGAUAAAAAUGUACGGAUUAUUGGUACAAGGAUUAAAUUGUAAAGCAUGUAAAAGCAUUAUGCAAAAAGUGUAAAAGUGAUAUGUGUGCAUGAAAUAAUUUGCCCAAGUAGACGAGAUUAGAACUACUAGGAUAUUAAUGGCGUGCUAUUACGGGACCUUUGUACGUCAAUGCUCUCUGAUUAUUAGCAUAUUAGUGCUCUCCGUUUAGCACAUUUGUGCUCUCUGUAUAGCACUUUAGUGCUCUCUGUUUAAUAAUACAUAAUAAUGCACCUUUGUAUCAGUCUUGUAUAUCCUAAGUGUUCUAUCUAGUCUACUGGGCCUCUGCUAAAUAAAAUGUAAACAAUUUUCGUUACAAGAUAAAGGAUUAUCUUUGAGUAAAAAUGUUGAUUACGAUGAAACAGAACUAGUAAAGAUAUGAAUAAAUGUUUAUUAGUAUUUGAGAAUGAUAAAUGCUAUGUUAUAUGAGUAAAUACAUGAAAAAUUAAAUUAUGAGACUUUACGAUCUCUACCCCCUUACCAGUACAGUUAUAUGAAAUGAAAUUCAUGAGAUUUAUAUUGAUUAAGUUUAGAAAUGUGAAAGUGAAUAAGUUUAAUGAUUGAGCAAUUGAUAAUGCAGUCAGAACUGAGAAUGAGUUAAUAAGUAAAAAUAAGUUCUGAAUAGAGAUAUUAGAUUUUUCUAAAAACUACUUGGGAUAUACAGUGCCAUUGCUAAAGAAAGAAGUUAUUUAUAGGAAAAUUGAUUUAUUCAGAUAUAGUACUUACAAAAUGGUUAACUGAAAAUUUCUUCUAAAUUAGUUUCUUGAGUGAACUAAAUGAUAUGAAAAUUAUUGAUGACUAUACUAGUCAAUGGAUUGGUGAAUAAAUUGCAAAAAUAUUUGAACAUAGUUGUUAUAAUUGGGUAUAUUACAGUAAAUUUUUGGGAUUUUAUAUGGGUGUCUUAUAUCUACUGAUAUUUUCAGAAGUAUAUGCAACUGUUCAUGUUUGGAUUCUAUAAUCAUUAUAUGGAAAAGGUUAGAUAAAUAUGCUAACAGACAAAAAUUGUCGCAAGUCUGAUUGAUUCACAAGUGGUAUUACUCUAUCUUUCUUUGGUUAUCCAAGUCAAUAUAUGUGAUAGAACACUUUAUACUAAGAUUCAGAUGAUAUUAUCUUCUAUUUCUGUUAGUGGAAACUCUGAAUGACGAAUGUGCAAUGUUAUUCUUUUGGACUUUCUCUGAGAUGUUAUCAAUCUUUAUAUUAUUCAAUAUGGAUUAUCUUCUCGAAAAUUUGGUAUAGUUUCGCAACUUGGAUUUUGUUAUCUCGGUUUUCUUUUCAUUUUAUGGUUUGAAUGAAAAAGACAUUCAUUGAUUAAUGGUAAUUAUACUUACUACUAUUGUAAAUCCUAACUUGAAUAUGAGAAUUUGGUAAUAUGGAUUAGAAAUUAUAGAAACUGUAUCACGACACUGGUUAUUGGGAAUACUCUCGGUUUUUCCUUUCCUAUUUGGGAAAUAUUAUUGAAGUUGAGGUAUUAUUCCAUCUAUACUGUUGAAACUUCAGAUUUAUUAUAGCACCAUGGUUUUUAAUUUAUUGGAUGAUUAUGGUUUUAGAAUAGUUUAAAGGUUCGAUAUUAAUUAUUGAAAUAGUUACAUCAAUGAUACGGUUAUUACAGAAAUAUAUAAGAUUUGAAUGGAUUGAUAAAUGAUAGCAAAGUUUUGAUCAGUUUAAAGUCUUGUUGACUGAAGCAUCAAUUCUGAUUCAGUUCGAAUCGGGUAAGGAAAUUGUAAUUUACAGUGAUACAUCAUCGAAUGGAUUACACUGUAUUUUGAUGAAGAAAAGCAAACUAAUAGGUUAUACUUCCAGAUAGAUAAAUCACAUGAAAAGAAUUUCUCGAUAUAUGAUUUUGAAUUGGCAAUUAUUGUAGUUGCAUCAGGAAUUUGGCAACAUUAUCUGUUUAGUGAACUAUGCUAUAUAAGUAUUGAUUAGAAAAGUUUAAAGUAUCUGAUGUUAUAGACAGAUUUGAGGUUGAGACAGUGUGGAUUGUGAGCUGCUGAAAGAAUAUGAUGUGGUAAUUGAUCAUUAUUUGGGAAAAACAAAUGUAAUUGCUGAUACUCUGAGUAUAAGAUUUCUGUUUGUCUUAUAAGCAAAGGAUACCUGAUUACAAUUGUCUAAUAAUAGUACAAUCUUAGUAGAAAUUAAAGCUAAACCAAUGUUUAUACAACAGAUCAGUGAAACUCAGAGAUGUAAUAAUGAGUUGCAAGUUAAAUGAGUACAAAGUGGGUCAACUUCUAAUUCAGGAUUUCAGAUUCGAUCUGAUGAUUGUCUAUUAUUCUAAGACAAAACCUGUAUACUGAAGAAUAAAGGUAGCUUUAGUAAAAAAAUUUCUAAUAAUGACACGAUACAAAAGAAGCUACUUAAGAAUAAAAGAAAACUACGAGAAAGUAAUAUCUUAAUUUUUUUUUACUGGUAAGAUUUUCGAGGACAAAAAUUCUUAAAGGGGGAGAGAAAUGUAAUUUCCCAAAAAUUUCUAUAGUAAGAUAUUAUCCUUGAUAUAGAAAAAUAAGGAAAUAAGUGAUAAAAAGGGAACUUUUGAGUUAUGACAACAUUGGGAAGUAAAUUAUGAUAUCUUGAUUCAGGAAAGGACUAAAUUGUAAAAGUGUGAAAAUUUUUGUUGUACAAUAGUAAAUAUUAAAAACUUGAGGGGUUAAAGUGUAAAUAUAAAAAAAGUUUAAUAACCAAUAGUGAAAAUAUUUUAAGGGUGGAAUGAUCUAAAAACCAAGGAAAAUGGAUGAAUUAGGACCAAAUUGAAUAGGUGAAGAGUUAUGAGGGACUAAAUUACAAAUUUUACCAAAUUAAAUGAUGACUCAAUGAUGGAACUUUAAAGAUAAUCAAGGGAAAUAUAGUCAAUUAGAAGUAGAGAGAAAUCUAGAGACAAUGAUGAUGUUGGAGAUAUUUUAGAUAAAUUAAAUAAAUAAAUAUUAGUUUAUUAAUACUUUAAAUUGAUUUUUAAAUUAUAUUUUAUUAUUUUAUUAUUAUUUUAUUUAAUAUAUAUAUGUAAGGAAAGAAAGAGGAAGAUGAUCAUCUUUCUCAUGCAACUAACGUGAGAAGAACAAGAAGAAAAAGAAGAAAAGAAGAAGUUUUUCUUUCCUUACAAUUUGGUCCUUCCACCAAAAAUUCACUAUUUUCACCUAGAAAUCAAAAGAAUUUCCAUAGCCAUCAAAAGAGAGAUAAUAAGAAGACUAUGGGAAGUUAGAAUAUCAAGUUGAAUUCAAGAAAUAAAAGCUGAAGGAGAGAGAAAAAUCAAGUUAAAUGUUGAAAUCAAUAAGAAAAGUUAAGAACAUCAAGAUUUCAAUAUAUUUUUAAGUUUGAUAUUAUUAAAAAGCAUGGAAUUGAUGUUAAUAUAGAGUUUUCUUAUAUAUGGACCUAUGUUCUUGACAUGUUAGUGAAGAGAAAAUAAGAGAAAGUGAUGAGAAAUAGUGUAGAGAAAGAAAAUAAGGGUGUUAUAAACAUGGUAAAUAAAUAUCUUGCACUAAAACAGUUUUGGACAGUAGCAGUAAGGUAACUUUGAAAAAUCACCAUAAAUUGUGAAAAUCGAAUUAGAGGAUGAAAAAAAUAUGUAAUUAAGUCUUAUUGAGUCAAGUUUCUUAUAGAAGAAACGGUGUAAGAAAUGGAAUUUUGAAUUAUGAGAUAUAAUAAAUUUUUUGAAAUAAGGUUAGAAUGAUUUCGGGUUCCCCUAUUCUGACUAUGGAAAAUCAUAAACAAUUGGAGAAAAAUAAUUAAGUGCUUAAAUUUAUAUGUUUAAAAUUCUUAAUGAGUCUAUUUUCAAUAGAAAUAAGUGGUAACAUCAUUCGAAUCUCGUACGAGGAGAUAAUUAAUUCCUAGCGAAGAAGGGUCAGAACUGUCAAAUAGCAGAACAGUGUAACUUUAAAGAAUAAACUGUACUUAUUGGGUAAACAAAAUUUCCUGAAAAUUUUAUGGUAAGAAUAUAUGUGAGUCUAGUUUCAUGAAAAAUUAACAGAUCUUAAUUUUGAGUUCUUUAUCUUAAGAUAAAAAUAAUUUAGUAACUAUGACACGAAUGGACAGCUUUGAAUAUACAUAUAAGUAAAUAGUGAAAUUAUAGAUAAUGUUACUUAUAAGCAUGUUAUAUACAUUAAGGAUGUGGAAUGGAGAGGAGGAGGAGGAAAAAUAUAUAUGAAUAUUCAGCUAGUAUGGUUAAUUUGCAUGUUUUAGACUCAGGGACUAAAUUGAAUAAAAGAAAAAAUGUAGGGGCAAUUUUAUAAAACGUCAAGCUAUUGUAUGUUACCCGGAUGAAAUAUAGCAGCUACAAAUGUACUGUAAGUUGUCCGAAUGAAGUACGUUUUUUUUGUAACAAGCGACCUGUAUAUAAUUUGGCAUAAAACUUUAAAAAUGUCAAAAAUGACCAAAUUGAAGGAAAUGUUUUAUUGAUUAAAUUAAUAAAUUGAAUGAAAUUAUUAAUUUGGAUCAAGAUUAGGUGAAAAUCGGGGAAAAUAAACAAUUUACCAAAAUGCCCCUGAAUCUUGGUAUCUCUGCAAUUUAGCCAGAUAAGUUCGUGUAACUUGAAUUAUAUUCUUAAAUGCUUGAAAUGUAUGUUAUUGAUGUGAAUAUAAUUUAAAUAUCCCGGGUAUGAAAAUUGAUGAAACAUUGAUAUAUUUGAUAAAAGGGGGAAGAAAUCCCGGUUGAAUGAAACGAAAUUUCGAUGGAUCUCUAAAAAAAGAAUUGACGGUAAAAAGGAUAUAGCCCGGACGGGUGAUCCUAUCCUGAUAUAGCCCUCCCGAAGAAUAUGUGUAAAAUGGAUGUAGUCCGUUCGGGUAAUCCGAAUUAGGGUCUGAAUUUAGCCUGGACUGGUAAUUCAGAUCCAAGCUCAUUAGAGUAAUUGUCGUUGCAUGGGAUUUAGCCUGGACUGGUAAUCCCGAUAAUACUCUAUGAGUUUAUAUUAUAGGGGAUUUAGCCUGGACUGGUAAUCCCUUUGUAAGGAUAAGGUUCACAAGAGUGUGCUUUCUGAAAUGAAAUGUGUAAGACCAUAGUUGAAAGAUACCAUGGCAACAUGAUAUGAAAUGUGUAAGACCAUGGUUGAAAGAUACCAUGGCAACAUGAUAUGAAAUGUGUAAGACCAUGGUUGAAAGAUACCAUGGCAACGUGACAUGAAAUGAAUAAGACCAUGGUUGAAAGAUACCAUGGCAACAUGACAGAAAAUGAGUAAGACCAUAGUUGAAAGACAUUAUGGCAUCAUGUCGACGAUAAAUAAGAUCGUGGAUGAAAGAUGUAACACCCCGUACCCGAGACCGUUGCCGGAGUCGAACACGAGGUAUUUACGGACUUAUUUCGUUGAUUUUCACAGUCCAUUUUAAAAAUUUCCAGACAAGCUGGCUAACUGCGUCAUUGUUACCUUAAAAAUCAUAUCUUGAGUUCCAGAACUCGGAAACCAGUUUUGUAAAUUUUACCUGAAACUAGACUCAUAUAUCCAUCUAAAAAUGUUUUUCUAGAAUUUUUGGUUGAGCCAAUUAGUACAUUUUAUUAGUUAAAAUCUCCCCUGUUUCAGGGUUCGACUGCUCUGACCUUCAUGCAUUACGACUUAUAUAUCUUCCUGUACAGGGCUUCAUUACUUAUGCCGUUUGUUUCUAACGAAACUAGACUCAAAAAGGAAUCUAUACAUAUAUUGCAUGACCUCUAAUUAUCUCUGGUUAAUUUAUAGUGAAUUUCCAAAGUUAGAUCAGGGGAUCCAGAAAUCGCUCUGGCCCUGUUUCACAAAAACUUAAAUAUCUCUUAAAGUAAAACUCAUAUGAUCGUUUUGUUUGUUCCAUAUGAAAUUAGAUUAAUCAAGGUUAAAUUACAUAAUUUAUUCACUAUUUAAUUCCAUUCCUACUAUUUUUAGUGAUUUUUCAAAUCUGCACCACUACUGCUGUCAGCAUCUAUUUUUAAGGUAAACUUUAUCUAUUUCAUGGUUUUCCAUGAAUCAACUAGAAUUUGUUAUACAAAGCACCAAAAUGAUCAUGAUUAACCAUUCCAAUGGCUAAUCGUUACCAACAUUUCCAUACCUCUCAAUGAAUAACAUACAAAACGAUUAUAAUGCUAUGCUCAAAGUGUAUAUAAGCCAUUUUCGCAUGGCUAUCCAAAUUUAUACAAAACCAAAGGGUACGUGACCAACAACAAAAAGGGGUAGUCCUAUACAUGCCAUUUUCAGAGUUCAACCAAAAGUGUACCAAAAAAAGGGCUUUGAUAGUGUGGACGACUUCGACUUCGACUUCGACGAUCCUGAGUCCGAUAACUGACGAACCAAAAUCUAUAAAACAGAGAUUCAAAGAACGGAGUAAGCAUUUACUGCUUAGUAAGUUCUGAGCAAUGAAAUCAUGCACAACUGAAGUAUAGCAUUCAUACGACUAAACGAAUAAUUUCAUAUACACAUAUUCUCACAAUCAUACCUACUUCACAUUUCCAACCUUUAUAUUCAUACAUAAGGAAUCAACUUGUCUAAAAGCUGGAAGCUUGUUAGUCGAUUGAGCAAAUACUAUUUAGAAGGAAUCAAUUAUCUCAAUGUACAUACGAAACAUACCUCAUCGUUGGGAUUUUACGAGCGUAUUAAUUGAAAUUAUUACAGCAAGAUCGCUCAUUCCCAAACCCAAGUAUCUUCGGGAUUUAGCCGGAUAUAACCACUCGCACAAGGCCUUCGGGUCUUAGCCCGGAUAUGGUCACUAGCAUAAAUGCCUUCGGGACUUAGCCCGGAUAUAAUCGCUAGCACAAAUGCCUUCGGGUCUUAGCCCGGAUAUAGCAACUCGCACAAAUGCCUUCGGAUCUUAGUCCGGAUAUAGUCACUAGCAUAAAAGCCUUCAGGACUUAGCCCGGAUAUCAUUCGAAUAACCAUGCACAUAUAUCAAUAAUCAUGACACAUCCAUAUUUCAUUUUCAUUACCAAAGCUCAAACACAAGACACUUAUCACACUUACUAAUUUCGGCUCAAUAGCCACAUACAAAGAGCACGAUUUUGAUUUGCUUUAUGACAUGAUCUCUAUGCACAUACAGCUACCCAUCAUACGUAUAGACUAAUUAAUUCAACAUAUAAUUCAAGUAGAAUCAUUAUAUCACCGUAUUUUUGUCAUGACUAUACGUCAUGACUUAAUCAAAUCGUAAACUAAGUUUCAUUACUCGAAAACUUACCUCGGAUGUUGUCGAACGAUUUCAGCGGCUAUUCGAUCACUUUUUCCUUUCCCUUGUCCAACUUUGGUCCUCUAAGCUCUUGAGCUAAUUCAAGCAAAUUUAACUUAUUAAGGUCUCAUUAUGCUAGCUUAUGGCCGAAUAUGACAAGGAGUUGAUAGGUCAUAUGGCCACCUUUAGCUCAAAUACAAAGUGGUCAUACGCAUUUUUAAUCACAUUGAGCAAUUUAAUACAAUUAAUCUAACAUUUCCUCAUGUGCACCUUCAUGACCGAAUACACACAUCAUUACCCUAAUAUCAAUUAACUAAGCAAUUCAACAAAUUCUCCUUGAGCCGAUUAUCUAAGUCAAGAUAAAAGCAUCAAUAUGCUUGCCCCUAACCGAAUACAUGCAACACCAAUCUAUCUCAUGUGGCCGAAUAUGCAUGUCUAUGUUGAGGCCAAUUAUAUGCUUAAUACUUCCUACAAAUAUGGUUACUUGUAUUAACUACAUACCAUCUUGUUUCAAGUUCAAAACUCGGCUAAUGCACAUAUGUACACUAGUAAUCAAAUACUAAUAUUUGCACUUCACCUUACUACCAUUUCUCAUGCAAAUAACAUGAACAACAACCAUAUUUCCUACUAUGGCCGAAUGCAUCAAGACACCAUAUCAUUUCAAUUUUGGUCAUGGGUUAAACAAAGAACCUAAUGUCUAUCUCAAAAAAAAUGCUAAAAAGAAAAUCCAAGAGGCAUCAAUCCACCAUCACAUGUAUCAUUAUAAAGCUUCACAUUUAGCAUGCAAAUGACAUCAACACAAAUCCACCUUAGCCGAAACUUAACUCAUCUUCAUGCAUCAUCACCAACAUCAAACACCACCCAAGAAGACAGCACCCAUGGCCGAAUAUCAUCUCCAUCACAUAGCAAAGAUUUAAACCAUGGGCUAGGUAGAACUCAAGCUAACAACUAAAACAUGCAUGCAUCUCAUGGAACAUCAUCAAACAUACCUUAAUCUAGAUACAAGUAUGGCCGAACCUCCUCAACCUUUUCUUCCCCUCCUUCCUUUGAUUUUUCUGUCAAGAAGAAACAAAUGAGAACCUUUUCUUUUUUUUUUCAUUAUCCUACUAACCAUUAUUAUUUUAUCAUUUCUAACAUAAACCAUUAACACAACAUGUUUAUGACAUGUUUUACCCAUCACCCUUUGUCAUGGCCGACCACUACUAAUUAAAUGGGGGAAAUUGACAUGCAAGUCCACCCAUUUGAUUACAUGCACUAAUAGAUCCUUAUAGAUUAACCUAUCACAUUUUAAAAGUGUCACACAUAAGUCCUAUUAACUAAAUUCACAUGCAAUUAACUAAAUCAAAGCUUAAAACUUUCACACAUUCAUAUUCACAUAUUUUAGACAAUAAUUAUCAUAUUCAAAUAAUUUGGUGACUCAGUUUAGCGGUCCCGAAACCGCUUUCCGACUAGGGUCACUUUAGGGCUGUCAUAAGAGAUGCCAAGACAUCUGUUGAACAACUAAUAUUCAGGUAAUAUGUACCAGAUGACGAAUAGUUAUAUGAAUUGGUUAUACAAAAUGGUUGUGUGAAAUGUUUACAAGAAUUGGUCAUAUGGAAAUAUAUGUACAAAAUAGUUGUAUGAAAUAAUUAAGAAGAUAGAUAAAUAAAAUAAGUAUAGGUACAUAGAAUUUAAUUUAUGUUAAGUUUAACAUGAACAAUUACUGAAAUAAAUAUACAUAAGAUAUAUAGAAAUGAUGGUGCAUGAAAUAUUGAUAUAACGAAAUGAAUGAUAUAUGCUUAUGAAGAAACGGUAAGAGAAUAAUAUGUUUCGUGACAUGUACAUAUAUGAUUAUCUUUGAUAUGUUGAUACAAGGAAAUUAUAUAAAUUGAGACUAUUAUUAAACUCAAGUGUGAUAUGACGAGAAAAUAGGUAUAUCAAUGUUGAAAUUAUAUGAAAUACGUACAAGUAUACUAACAAUGUUGUUGUUUGAUACUUAGACAAAAACCAAGCUAUUGAUUGAACGGUAAUAUGUUUAUUUAUAUGAUGCAUUGAAUCAGUAAGUAUUUAAUUGAAAUUUUUCUUAAAUGAUAUCUAAAUCUUAAUAAUGCCCCGAAACCCUGUUCCAGCAACGGAUACGAGAUAGGGUUGUUACAGGAAUUCUAGGUGCAAGGGACACACGGCCAUUCAGCACACCUAUGGGGCAGACCGUGUGUGAGACACGGUCUAGACACACACCUGUGUGUCUACCCGUGUGGACCAUUUAAAGGCUAUUUUACAAGCCAAUAGUCACCUAAAGUCACUCAUACAUUCAAACAUACUUUAUAACAUGCAACAUGACAUAUUUAAGCACUUAAAUAUUCCACACCAUAGCACUCUCACAUCUGCAUAUAGUCAUCCUAUUGCACAUUCAUUUGCUACAGUAUUUAGAGGCAUUCUACACCAAUUUCAUGCAUUAUUAAACUUAUUAUUAUGACUUCAAAUUUUGCAUUCAUGCUUAUAGUCAUUUUAAGCCAUUAGAUCAUCCCUUAUCCUUUAGCACCCAAUUCAUACUUUACCAUACAUUCAUCGAUCAACAACAUAUAACAUCAUUAUCCUGCAUUCACCAAGCAAUAACAUAUCCUACCAUCAAGACACUAGCACAUGCAUACAUGGGUAAUUAGAUUACAACCCAAAUGAUCAAAUAUGAGCCAUAUCACAUGGCCAUUACAAAAUGAAUCAUCAUUAUCAUAGGCCUUCACAAUUUGGCCAAAUAGCAUGACACAUACCACAAAAUGACCAAGUUUCCUAUACAUGCCAUACUCAAAAUGUAACACCCCUUACUCGUACCCGAGACCGGGACAAGGUAUGAGGCAUUACCGUACAUAGACAGGGUAUUUUCAAAACACAUGGGUCAUCAAAUUUCAUUCCAAAUUAAAACCAAUCAAAAAAAAAUCAUAUUGUCCUUAUUAUGUACCUAUGAGGUCCAAGACAUACAUUAAAAACAAUCUGGGACUAAUCCGAGAACUUAAGAGAAUUCUAAGAAAAUUUCUAGGGUUGAGCCUCACACGCCCGUGUGGAGGCAAUGCACAUGCCCGCAUGCUUUGGGACAUGCCUGUGUUCUUUACUCGUAUAGGAUUUUUAAAAAUUAUUUUUCAUUUCGAACCUACAGGGGUUUUCACACGGCCUAGACACGCCUGUGUCCUCGCCCGUGUCCAAAAACCUGGACAUUCUGUUUAUGAUGUCAUCACUCAUUUAGGGGCACACAGCCAUGGCACACGCCCGUGUUCUAGGCCGUUUCCUUCAUACGGUUGAGACACACGGCCGUGUCUUUACCUGAGUUUUUACUACCAUGCAAACUGACAUAAAAAAUUUAGAUUCGGGGACACACGACUGAGCAACAUGCCCAAGGGGCUGACUGUGUGCCACACACUGCUAGACACAUGCUCGUGUGUCUACCCGUGUAGACCUUUUAGGAGGAUAUUUUCCAAGCCAUUGGUCACCCUCAAUCACUCAUACAUUCAAACACACUUUACAACAUGCAACAUGACAUAUUUAUACACUGAAACAUUGCAUACCAUGGCACUCUCGCAUCUUCAUAAUGUCAUCUUAUUGCACCCUUAUUUGUUACACCAUUUAGAGGCAUUCCAUUCCCAUUUCAUGCAUUAUUAAACUUGUUACCGUAACGUCGAAUUGUGUACUCAUGCACAUAGUCAUUUUAAGUCAUUAGGUCAUCCUUUAACCUUUAGUAAUUAAUCCAUGCUUUACCACACAUUCAUCAAGCAAUAACAUAUCCUACCAUUGAGACACUAACACAUGCAUGCAUGGGUAAUUAGAUUACAACCCAAAUGACCAAACAUGAACCAUAUCAUAUAACUAUUACAAAAGAAUCAUCAUCAUCACAGGCCUUCACAAAUUGGCCAAAUAACAUGACACAUAUCACAAAAUGACCAAGUUCUUAUACAUGUCAUACUCAAAUUAUAAUUCCACUAUACCCAAUAGUCUUUUGAUAGUGUAAUCGAGUAAUCCGAAAGCUUCCGAUCCCCAAGCUAGCUUGGCGGAACUACAAAGAAUGGAAAAGAAAGGGAAGUAAGCAUUAAAGCUUAGUAAGUCCACAUACAAAUAAUAUGCGAUAGUGGUAAACAAUUAACAUGCAUAAACAUGGUAUCAUAUAUAUAAAGAUUUUUCUUCAUUCAAACCUCUUUACUUACUCAUCAUAUGUAUAUUCAUACUUGCUCAUCUUAAAUUGAUUUUUGUCAAAGCAUUACUCAUAGGUUUAGCGUACGUACCUAUACUCAUCUUAGAGUAUCAAUAACCGUACCUCUUUCAUAUGCCAUCCUCGGGACUUUCAUUACAUUCGUUACAUUACCCGUUGAACACUCGGAAUACUAUUGGAUACGCGAAAACCUUGCACCUAAGUGCCACAUAUAUAAACGUAGCCGAAGCUACCACAUGACAUGUAUACAUUCAUAAUGAACUCAGACCUCUCAACAAGCUCGAAUAUUACAUGAAUUGCAUCCAUCAUGAACUCAGACCACUCAACAGCUCGGAUGUUUGCAUCCAUAAUGAACUCGGACCUAUCAACGGGCUCGAAUGUUACAUACCUCACGAACCCGUACCACUCAACGAGUUUGGACUUCUUAGUUCUUAGUGACAUGUCACUUGUAUUCUAAACUAUUCCUAAGGAUCAAAUGAGAUUUUCCUCACACGCAUAUAGUAUCUCUAUCGUACUUGCUCGUAACAUUGUGGUUAACGACCAUGAUAACAUUAAUGCUUUCAUAACAAUCAAUAGGCAUAUAACUCAUAGUUACAAUAACAAAUUUAUCACAUUAUAUUGAAGCAUUAAAACAUACUAUAAUACCAUAUUAUUUGCAUAUGUACUUACCUCAGUACAAAACGAUGAUAAUCGAGCAUAGUCGUCGUAUACUUUAUUCUUUCCUUGAUCAAGUCCCGAUUCACGUUUUUCUUGAUUUAUAAUGCCAAAUUUAACUUAUUUAUUAUUCAUAUUCAAACGGGUCCAUAAAUCAUACUCUUACAAAUUUACAUUUUGACCCCUAAACUUUUACAUAUUUAUGAUUUAGCCCCUAGGCUCGUAAAAUGAAAUGCAUGCAUUUUCUUGAUUACCCAAGCUUGGCCGAACCUCUUCGAUGCUCAUAUUAGCUCAUAUUUUCUUUUAUUUCACAUUAUUACUACUCACUUUUACACUUUUAUAAACAAGUCACUUGUUUAGGUUUUUUCACUGAAAAUCACUUAAUAAAAAAUGUUCACCAUGCAUCAAACAUUCAUAUUCCUCCAUAAAUCAUUAAAAUACAAGCAUGUCAUGCAUGGGUCAAUUUUCAUACAUGAACCGUAGCUCAAAAUAUAGCUAGAAAUGGGUAGAUCAUGUUACCGGGACUUCAAAUAUACAUAGAACAUUAAAAACGAGGCUAGAGAACACUUACUAUUGAGCUUGGAAAUGUUGAACAAAACCCUAGCUAUGGUGUUUUGUGAUUUUCGACAGCCAAGGAAGAAGAUGGACACAUUUUUGGUUUGAUUUUCCCUUUUUAUUCUUUUAAUUACCUAAUGACCAAAAUGCCCUUAGGAUUUCUCUUUCUAAUUUUUUUUCUAUGCAUGUCCAUUUUUGUCCAAAAUUUUAGAAAUUGGUCAAAUUGCUAAUUAGGACCUUCUAAUUCAUAAUCUAAUACAAUUUCAUGUUUAAAGCUUCUAGAAUGCAAGUUUUGCGCUUUAUUCAGUUUGGUCCCUAAAAUGCAAUUAGACAUUUUAUGCAUAGAAUUUCUUCAUGAAACUUUCACACAAGCAUGCAUUCAUAACAUAAACCUCAUAAUAAUCAUAAAAUAAUUAUUUCUAUCUCAGAUUUGUGGUCUCGAAACCACUUUUCUGACUAGGCCCUAAUUCGGGAUGUUACACAAAAUAAUAAUUUCACUAUACCUAAUAGUCUUUUGAUAGUGUGAUCGAAUACUCCAAUAGCUUCUGAUCCCCGAGCUAGCUUGGCGAAACUAUAAAGGAUGGAAAGAGAGAGGAGUAAGCAUCAAAGCUUAGUAAGUCCACAUACAAAUAAUAUGAAAUGGUAGAAAGGAAUCAACAUGUAGAAACAUGGCAAUAUAUACAUAAAGAUUAUUCAUCAUUCAAACCUUCUUGCUUACUCAUCAUACGAACAUAUAUAUUUAUACACGUGCUCAUCGUAAAUCGGUCUUUAUUAGGGCAUUACUCAUAAGUUUAGCAUACAUACUUGUACUCAUCAUAAAGUAUCCAUAACCAUACCUCUUUCAUAUGUCCUCCUCAGGACUCUCAUUACAUUCAUUACAUUACCCGUUCAACUCUCCGAAUACUAUUGGAUACGCGGAAACCUUGCACAUAAGUGCCAUAUAUACAACGUAGCUGAAGCUACCACAUAACAUGUAACACAUCCAUAAUGAACUCGGACCUCUCAAAGAGCUCGGAUGUUACAUGAAUCGCAUCCAUUAUGAACUCGGACCUCUCAACAAGCUCGAAUACUCGCAUUCAUAAUGAACUCGGACCUCUCAAUGAGCUCGGAUGCUACAUAUCUCACAAACCCUGACCACUCAAUGAGUUUGGAAGUUUUAGUUCCUAGUGACAUGUCAUUUGUAUCCUAAACUAUUCCUAAGGUUCAAACGGAGUUUUUCUCAUUCACAUAUCAUCUCCAUUGUACUUUCUCGUAACGUCGUAGAUAACAACCAUAAUAACAUUCAUACUUUCGUAACAAUCAGCAAACAUAUAGUUCUUCAUUACAAUAAAACAUUUAUUACAGUAUAUAUUAAAACAUUAUAACAUACUAUAACACCACAUUAUUUGCAUAUGUACUUACCUUGAUACAAAAUGAUGAUAAUCGAGCUUAAUCGUCGUGUACUUUAUUCAUUCCUCGAUCAAGUCCCGGUUCAUGUUUUUCUUUAUCUAUAAUGCCAAAUUUAACUUAUUUAUUAUUCACAUUGUUCAAAUGGGUCCAUAAUUAAAACUUUAAAAAUUUAUAUUUUGACCCCUAAACUUUCAAAUAUUUACAAUUUAGUCCUUAGGCUCGUAAAAUGAAAUGCAUGCAUUUUCUAGGUUACCCAAACCUAGUCGAACCCUUACUAUGCUAAUAUCCGCCCAUAUUUUCUUUUAUUUCACAUUAUUACUAUUCUCUUUUACACUUUUACAAACAAGUCCCUUGUUUAGGUGUUUUCACUAAAAAUCACCUAGUAAAAGAUGUUUAUCAUGCCUCAAACAUUCAUAUUCCUCCAUUAAUCAUUAAAAUACAUGCAUGUCACACAUGGGUCAAAUUUUAUACAUGAACCCUAUGUAACACCCCUAACUUGCAUCCGUCGCCGGCGGGGUUACGAGGUAUUAUCGAAGAAAAACAUAGUACUCGUACAAUCACAUAAUUCCAUAGAUCUUAUUGGUAAAAUAAAUGUAUUAAAUUAUUAACCACACUAUAUGCACGAAUUAUAAUUCCCAAGUUCAAACAAAUUCAAAUCAAAUAUUAAACCUUUGAUUUUAUAAUUAUUUACAAGUAUUAUUUAACCAAGUAAAACAUUUCACAUAGCUUACUAUUCAAAUCAUGUGUAACAUUAAAAUUGGCUAUUACAAAAAAAAUAAAUAGAACAUACUUGACAAUUCAUUUAAAGACCAAACAUGCUUAUUUGCUAAUUACAAAGCUAUGUGCAUUUGUUCAUUUUAAUAUAACCAAUUUUAAGAACACAUACCAAUUUUAAGAACACAAUUCAAUACCCAUACCAUCUAUCAUUUUUAGAGUAUAACUUCAUAAUUAAAAACACCACUUAUACUUUAAAAAUAAUUCACAUCCAAAUAUCAUAAUAACUUGAUAUAUCUCAAUCAAUUCAUAUAACAACAAUGACUUCUGUGCAAAUUCAAAAGUAUAUAUGUUUUGUUAAUUAACACCCUAUAGUCGAACAUAUAUAUAUAUCAAUUAUGCAAAUUAUAAUAUAUACUUAUCAAAUAGAUUUAAAUCGCAACUAAACCAUCAAACCAAACAUAUCAAAACAUCUAACCAAGAAGAUUUUAAACCAAACAUAACAUAUAAUAACUAAGCCAAUUUCGUAUGGCUUAAAUACACUUCUCAUUCAAAAUGGAUUCAAAAGAUAGAAUAGCUUAUACAUGCCAUAAGUUUAAAUUUAAGCUUUCAAGGGUACCAAAUUAUAAAUGAUAAUGUGACGAGCUUCACUGACGAUCCUCGAGCACGUAACGAUUACCAAAACCUAUGAAUCAAAAACAAUUAUCCAAACACAGUAUAAGCUAAUUUAGCUUAGUAAGUUACAAGCAAUUAAACUCUAAAAUUAAACUUGAUAUCUCAAAUACCAUUUAAGUAGUUCAUACUACUAAAUCGUAUAAUCACUAGCUUACCAUAUUAUAAGGCACUUAUUAAUCGAAUACUAUGAUUCAACUAAAAUCAAUAUAUAAUUACUCCAUUAUAAAGCAUUUCUUCAAUUCCAAAUACAAGGCUGAAUCCAUUAUGGCAUUCCAUCAUUAUGUAAUAUAUAAAAAAAUAUAUAUGCAUAAUACACUUCAUCUCAUUCUGCAAUAUAACAUAUAUCUUCCAAACACAAACACCAUCUUAUUCGAACUUCAAAUAGAUUUUAGCACAAAGCUAUUCACACAUUUAUCAUUACAUGCUCUCGAAUAGCCAAGUCUCCAUUGACAUUUCAUAUAACAUUCAAUAUGAUAUUUGAUGCAUUUCCACGUAUCAUUUUAUUUUCAUUUAAAUUAUACAACUAAAUAGCAUUUCAUCUAUUCCCCAUUUAAUCUUAUAUAUUUGAUUUCAAAUAUAAUCACCACAUAGGUUCAAGACUUACCAAGCUCAAUUUCAAACUUAAACAUAACGGCUAUUCCUCACAAACUCAAAGUAUUUACUCAUUCCACUGUCCAUGAUUACUCGAUAAAUUCGCACACUUAGUGUUAAUAGUUAUUCGAAAAUAUAUAGUAAGUUCGCACACUUAGUGCUUAAUAAUCAAACUCGCACACUUAGUGCUAUACAAUUAAACUCACAAAAUUAGUGCCAAUCUCAUAAUCGUAAAUAUUUAUACCCACACACUUAGUGCUGAAAAUCAACAACUCAAUACAUCUCACUUCUUUUUACAUUCGAUAAUUUCAUCACUACAUACAUAUAUAUAUCAUUCAAUUCGGCAUAAUUACAUAGAUAUUAUAGUUAUUUAAAUUGAUACAAAAUAUAUGCUUAAUAACUUACCUCGGAUAUCGACAGACAGAGAUUAUCGACUAGUCAACGAUUUUUUAUUUUCCCCGAUCCAAACCCGAUCCUUUUUGUUCUUGAUCUAUUCAAAUUCAAAUUAAGCUCAUUCAAAUAAAAUUCAAUCCAAUUAAACCCCAAAAUACAUAAAGGAGAAAAUUUACAUUUUGUCCCUUAUUUUUCACACUUUUACAUUAUAGUCUAAAAAUUCAUAACACAUCAAAUACACAAAAUUUAAAAAUAACAAGCUCUAGCCAAAUACUCCUCUAGCUUAUAUAAGUCUUCACAUUUCACCUAUUAUACAAACUAACCCUUAAAUUUAAUAUUUUUUGCAAUUUAGCCUUAAUUACUCAAUUCCAUCAAAACUUCUAACAAAAAUUUUGUUAAUCUAACACAUAUCUUUUAUUUUCUAUCUUUAAACACUAAAUCUAUCAAACUAUCAACAAUGGCAACUCAUGAAUAUCUCAUCAAUUUCAAAAAUUCUUACAUGGGUCUUAGAGUAUUUGAAACAACGAUCUUAAAAACGUAAAAAUUAUCAAAAACCGAGCUUAAACAUACCUUGAAUUUUGACUCAACAAUGGCCGAAUAUACUUGGUCUUUCUUUCCCUUUUCUUUUUCCUAGUUUCGGCUUUGAUGAACAAAAUAAUGCAUGAUAACAUUUUAUUUUAUGUUUUUAUUUAAUAUAAUGUUAUUAAACAUUUACUAAAUUAACCUUAGUAACAAAAUAUAAAACCUUACAAUAUAAUCAUUAAAACCAUCCAUCAUUAUUAUUCAUGGACAAAUUGCAACUUAAAGACUCAAUGUUUAAUGAACAAAGCAAUUUUGACACUUUAAUAAUUAAUCAAUCACUUUUCAUUUUUUUCGCGAUUUAACCCCUUAUUAUCAAAUCGACAUCUAAACGAUAAAAUUUUUAAAUAAAACUUUCACACAAGAAAAUUCAUACAUUUUAAGCACAAAAAAUAAUAUUUAAAUAUUUUUCUGACUCGAAUUCGUGGUCCAGAAACCACCGUUCCGAUUAGGGUCAAAAUCAGGCUGUUACAACUCUUCCUCCCUUUGGGAUUUUCGUCCACAAAAAUCUUACCAAUGAAUAGGUUUGGAUAACAUUCUUUCAUCGAAUUCUCAAGCUCCCAAGUUGCUUCCUCAACCCCGUGCUUAAGCCAAAGCACUUUCACCAACAAGAUUUUCUUAUUUCGCGACUCUUUCACUUCGCGAGCCAGAAUACGAAUCGGUUCUUCCUCAUAAGUUAAAUCUAACUGAAUCUCAAUUUUGGAUGGGUUAAUCACAUGAGAAGGAUCGGAUCUAUACCGUCGGAGCAUCGAAACAUGAAAAACAUUGCGGAUCUUUUCUAGCUCAGGUGGCAACAGUAAUCUAUACGCAACCGGCCCAAUCCGCUCUACAAUCUCAUACGGCCCAAAAAAUCUCGGACUUAACUUGCCUCUACGACCAAAUCUAAGAAUUUUCUUCCACGGCGAGACUUUCAAAAAUACGCGGUCUCAUAUCUGAAAUUCUAUGUCUUUACGCUUCAAAUCUGCAUAUGAUUUCUGACGAUCUAACGCUGCUUUCAAACUUUCACGGAUCACUUUUACUUUCUGCUCAGUCUCUUUCACCAAAUCAACCUCGUAUAUCUUAUUCUCACAAAGCUUGGUCCAGAACAAAGGUAUACGACAUUUACGACCAUACAAAGCUUCAUAAGGUGCCAUAUUGAUACUCGACUGAAAGCUAUUAUUGUACACAAAUUCGAUCAGGGACAAGUCUCUUUCCCACGUACCCUCGAACUCGAGAACACAACAUCUCAACAUAUCCUCAAGUAUUUGAAGGAUUCGUUCGGACUGACCAUCCGUCUGGGUGUGGAAAGCAGUGCUAAAAUUUAAUUUAGUACCUAAUGCAUCUUACAGUUUCUUCCAAAACCGCGAUGUAAACCUCGAAUCUCUAUCCGAAACAAUAGAAAUAGGUACCCGUGUAAUCGUACAAUCUGAGUAAUGUACAAUUCAGCUAGCUUAUCGAGUGAGUAAUCUGUACGGACCGGAAUAAAGUGAGCCGACUUUGUCAAUCUAUCAACAAUAACCCAAAUUGCAUCUUUCUUGUUCAGUGUUAAUGGUAAACCAGAUACAAAAUCCAUCGUGACUCGAUCCUAUUUCCAUUUAGGUAUCAUAAUCAGCUGAAGUAAUCCCGAUGGUACCUGAUACUCGACUUUUACCUGUUGACAUAUCAAACAUUUCGACACGAAGUCUGAAAUAUCUAUUUUCAUACCGUGCCACCAGUAGUACUGUUUCAAAUCAUUAUACAUCUUCGUGCUACCCAGGUGAAUAGACAACCUACUAUUAUAAGCUUCAUUACAAAUCAUCUGAAUCAACUCAGGAUCCUUUGGUACACAUAUUUAGUUUCUGAGCCUCAAACAUCCUUCAGCAUCAACCUGAAAUUCCAAGUCAGCAUUCAAAUUACAGUGAUUCCUUUUUGCUAUCAAAUCCUUGUCAAUACUUUGAGCUUCGCAAAUCUACUGAACAAAUAACAGUCUCGAUUUUAAUUCUGCUAUAAUCACACCAUCGUCUCUUAUAGCCAUAUCUGCAUUCAUUGCACGCAGAGCAAACAGUGAUUUUCGACUUAGGGCAUCAGCAACCACAUUAGCCUUUCCCGGGUGAUAAUCAAUCACAAGCUAGUAAUCUUUAAGCAACUCUAACCAUCGUCACUGUCUCAAAUUCAAAUAUUUUUGAGUCAUCAAAUAUUUGAGACUUUUGUGAUCAGAAUAAACAUGACAUUUUUCACCGAACAAAUAAUGACGCCAUAUCUUCAAAGGAAACACUAUAGCGGCUGAUUCGAGAUCAUGUGCAGGAUAGUUCUUUUCGUGCGGUUUUAACUGUCUUGAGGCAUAAGCUACAACUUUGCCUUCCUGUAUUAGAACGCAGCCCAAACCAUUCAAGGAUGCAUCACUAAAAAUAAUGAACUCUUUACCCGAUUCCGGUUGAACAAGCACUGGAGCUUCAGUAAAUAAAGUUUUCAAUUGGUUGAAGCUUUUCUGACACCUUUCUGUCCACUCAAAUCUAAUAUCUUUUUGAAGUAGAUUUGUCAUCGGAGUUGCAAUCAUCGAGAAACCUUUUACAAAUCGCCUGUAGUAACCAGCAAGUCCUAGAAAACUUCGAACUUCUGAAAAUUUCUCGGGGGUUUCCAAUCUAGUAUAGCCGAAAUCUUACUCGAAUCAACCCGUAUUCCCGAUGCCGAAACCACAUGCCCCAAAAAGCUAACCUCGUGUAACCAGAACUCACAUUUACUGAACUUUGUAUACAACUAUUUAUCUCGUAAAGUCUGUAAUACUAAUUUCAAGUGCUCGGCAUGCUCAAUUUCAUCACGAGAGUAGAUCAGUAUAUCAUCAAUAAACACAACCAAAAACCGAUCUAAGUAUUGUCUAAAGAUUCGAUUCAUCAAAUCCAUGAAAAUAACAGGUGCAUUAGUAAUUCUGAACAGCAUCACCAAAAACUCAUAAUGUUCGUAUCUUGUUCGUAAAGCAAUCUUAGGCACAUCAGAAUCUCUAACUCGCAAUUGAUAGUAACCCAAUCUCAAAUCUAUUUUUGAAAACACUGAAGCUCCCUUUAGCUGAUCGAACAAAUCAUCAAUGCGUGGCAAUAGAUAUUUAUUCUUUAUGGUCACUUUAUUGAGUUGUCGAUAAUCAAUGCACAUUCUCAUAGUUCGAUCAUUCUUUUUCACAAAUAGAAUUGGUGCACCCUAGGGAGAGAAACUCGACCGCGCAAAUCCUCUAUCUGUCAGCUCAUGUAACUGAGCUUUCAAUUCUUUUAACUCAGUAGGUGCCAUUCGGUACGGAACAAUCGAAAUCAGAGUCGUCCCCGAUACUAACUCAAUGCCAAACUCUACUUCUCGAAUAGGCGGCAAUCCUGGCAAUUCUUCAGGGAACACAUCCAGAUACUCGCACACCACUGGUACAGAUUCAAUUUUCUUUUUAGUUACUUUACUAUCAAGCACAUACGUAAGAUAAGCUUCACAACCCUUUCUCACAUACUUCUGAGCCCAUACAGAAGAUACCACUGUGGGUAAACCAUUCAGAUCAGUCGACUCAAUUCGGAUUAUCUCAUCAUUCUGGCACCGCAAAUUAAUAGUCUUUCUUUUACAAUUCACCACUACAUCAUGUACUAUUAACCAAUCCAUUCCCAGAAUUAUAUCAAACUCAUCAAAUGGCAAUAGCAUUAAAUUAGUUGGGAAACACAAAUUUCGAAUCAUCAGGGGGUAGUUCUUACACACUUUAUCAACUAACACACAUCGGCCCAGAGGGUUUGAUACCCAAAUCACAAACUCAAUAGACUUAACAAGCAAAGUCUUACUGGAUACUAAUGUUUCACCCAGAUAAAAAUGAGUUGAACCGAGAUCAAUUAAUGCAAUCACACUAAUAUUAUAGAGAGUGAAUAUACCGAUAAUAACAUCAGGGGAUGAGUCUCCUCUCGAGCGGGAAUGGCAUAUGCUCUGGCAGGGGCAUGAGUCUCGGAUCGAACUGCUGGGUCCGAAGCCCCUCUUUGAGUACCAUUCCUACCUCACGUGUUCCUAGGUGGUCUACCUCUAGCUGCAACACCACUCGGUCUCACACUCUAAACAUUAUCUUUUUCAACUGGCUCCGGGCAAUCUCGAAUGAAAUGAUCUCGUGAACCACAUCUAUAACAGACUCUAUUGUUAUACUUGCCCCAACAUUCACCCACAUGCCGUCUUCCACAUUGCUAACACUCGGGUUUAUUUGAUCGAGUAUUACCAACACUGGCAAUCAAAGUGGCUUGUAAACUCACUGGUGGCCAAUCUCGUAUAGAAAGCCUGGCAGUAGUCUUAAAUCGGUUGCUAUCAUCUCGAAACUUCUUUGAUGCCGGCUAAAAAGUCUUACUCGUUGAUCUCUUGCGGAAAUCUCUAGCUUCGAACUCAACUUUUCUUUUCUCUUUCCCAAGCUCUUCAGCUUUACAAGCUCGCUCGACAAGUACUACGAACUCUUUUAUUUCAAGUAUGCCAACAAGCAAUUUUAUGUCUUCAUUCAGCCCUUCUUCAAAUCUUUUACACAUAGCAGGUUCAGUCGAAGCACACUCUUGAGCAUAUCGACUGAGUCUCACAAAUUUUCGCUUGUAUUCUGUGAUAGUCAUAUGACCCUGUUUAAGCUCGAGAAACUCUUUACACUUCUGAUCUAUAAAUCUCUGGCUGAUAUAUUUCUUACGGAAUUCAGUCUGAAAGAAUUCCCAGGUGACCCGUUCUUUCAGCACAAUCGAAACCAAAGUAUUCCACCAAUGAUAGGUAGAAUCGCAUAAAAAAGACAUGGCACACUUUAGACACUCAUCAGGAGUACAUGAUAGUUCUUCAAAUACUCGGAUAGUGUUAUCGAGCCAAAAUUCAGCCCUAUCAGCAUCGUCAUCAUCUGUGGCCCUAAAUUUUUGGGCCCAUAUUUUCAAAUUUUAUCAACAGGGGGCUUAUUCAAUCUCACAGGAUCAAUAGUAGGAGGUACCACAGGCAUCGGAGGUGGAUUAUUCGGGUUCGGGGGUUGUUGAACGGGCAGAUUUGUCUGAAUAUAUCGAGUAAACCACUCAUUCAUCAUAUUAUAAAAGGCUUGUUUACCCUCAUCAUUAUGGUUACUUGCAUUCGGCCGAGAAUCAACCUGCGUUGUCCCUUAAGCGGGAGCAGGCGUUACACUCUUGACAUCGUCCACUACGGCUCGAUGGGGAUCAGGAUCCAUUUACUAUACGAGAAACACAUUUCAAGUGUCAAAAGUCAUCACACUAUCACAAUAUAAUUUAUGGCAUGUAUAGCAAAACUCAAACACGCUACGUUAAUCUGAGAAUCGACUAAACCGUAGCUCUGAUACCAAUCAAAUGCAACACCCCUAACUCACAUCCGUCACCGACGGGGUUACGAGGUAUUACAGAAGAAAAACAUAAUACUCGUACAAUCACAUAAUUCCAUAGAUCUUAUUGGUAAAAUAAAUUUAUUAAAUUAUUAAUCACGCUGUAUGCAUGGAUUAUAAUUCCCAAGUUCAAACAAAUUCAAAUCAAAUAUUAAACCUUUGACUUUAUAAUUAUUUAUAAGUAUUAUUUAACCAAAUAAAACAUUUCACAUAGCUUACUAUUCAAAUCAUGUGUAGCAUUAAAAUUGGCAAUUACAAAAAAAAAAAGAACAUACUUGACAAUUCAUUUAAAGACCAGACACGCUUAUUUGCUAAUUACAAAGCUAUGUGCAUUUGAUCAUUUUAAUAUAACCAAUUUUAAGAACACAUACCAACCACUAGUGUAUUAAAUUCCCAUGCCAUCUAUCAUUUUUAGAGUAUAACAACAUAAUUAAAAACACCACUUAUACUUUAAAAAUAAUUCACAUCCUAUAAUAGCAUAUUAAUGCAUCUAAAUAUCAUAAUAACUUGAUAUAUCUCAAUCAAUUCAUAUAACAACAAUGACUUAUGUGCAAAUUCAAAAGUAUAUAUGUUUUGUUAAUUAACACCCUAUAGCCGAACAUAUAUAUAUAUCAAUUAUGCAAAUUAUAAUCUAUACUUAUCAAAUAGAUUUAAAUCGCAACUAAACCAUCAAACCAAACAUAUCAAAACAUCUAACCAAGAAGAUUUUAAACCAAACAUAACAUAUAAUAACUAAGCCAAUUUCGCAUGGCUUAAAUACACUUUUCAUUCAAAAUGGAUUCAAAAUAUAGAAUAGCUUAUACAUGCCAUAAGUUUAAACUUAAGCUUUCAAAGGUACCAAAUUAUAAACGAUAGUAUGACAGCUUUACUAAUGAUCCCCGAGCACGUAAUGAUUACCAAAACCUAUGAAUCAAAAACAAUUAUCCAAACACAAUAUAAGCUAAUUUAGCUUAGUAAGUUACAAGCAAUUAAACUCUAAAAUUAAACUUGAUAUCUCAAACCUAUCUUUAGAGAUAAAGACGGGCGUGAACUUUUUGUACGUCGUAUGUCUACUUUUUUUGAAACAUUUUCGGUUGUUUUGGUAGACAGAGACAAAAUUGUUAGAGCGGAUGUCCCUUUUAGAAGGGCAGAAUCAAAGUAUAGUGUCAAACAAGUAGGUGUAACUGUUGAGUUCUAUGGCGGCGAACUCAAUGGAGUGAGUUAUAGUGAUCCUGCUACUAUGAAAAAAUAUGCUAGACGUGCUCAAUUGGGUGAAAAUUUUGAAUUAGAUCGUGCUACUUUGAAAUCUAAUGGUGUUUUUCGUAGCAGUCCGAGGGGUUGGAUUACUUUUGGGCAUGCUUUGUUUGCCUUGCUUUUCUUCUUCGGACACAUUUGGCAUGGUGCUAGAACCCUGUUCAGAGAUAUUUUUGCUGGUAUUGAUCCAGAUUUGGAUGCUCAAGUGGAAUUUUGAGCAUUCCAAAAACUUGGAUAUCCAAUUACAAGAAGACAAGUAGUUUGAUGCAAGAUUGCUUUGUUAUUUUUCGCUUCUACUUCUAUUUGUGAUUUGCCAUAGGCUGCUAGAAAAAUCUGGAUUUAAAUCGCUGCCUUUUCUUUGAUUCUUGUUCUUUCUUUAUUUGGGAGAUAAUUCCAAAUAAACAGGUACGGAAGCUAUAAUUGUAAACCAUGAUCGAAUUUAUGGAAGCAUUGGUUUAUACAUUCCUCUUAGUAUCUACUCUAGGGAUAAUUUUUUCGCUAUCUUUUUUCAAGAACCGCCUAAAAUUCUAACUAAAAAAAUGAAAUGAUUUUUCAUUAUCUCAAUUGAAGUAAUGAGCCUCCCAAUAUCAAUUAGUCCCCGUGUUCCUCGAAUGGAUCUCUUAAUUGUUGAGAGGGUUGCCCAAAACCAGUAUAUAAGGCGUACCCAGUAAAACUUACAAGUAAACCAGAAAUAGAGAUGGCGACUAAGCUUGCUAUUUCCAUUAUUAUAUAAUUUCAAGAUCACAAUGGGUCUAUGAUAAGAUUGUUUAUUUACAGCAGAAUGAUAUACAAAGUCAACAGAUCUCACUGAAUACAAAAUAAGAUUUAUGGCUACACAAACCGUUGAGGGUAGUUCUAGAUCUGGUCCAAGACGAACUGUUGUAAAGGAUUUUUUGAAACCAUUGAAUUCGGAAUAUGGUAAGGUAGCCCCUAGAUGGGGAACGACUCCUUUGAUGGGUGUUGCAAUGGCUUUAUUUGCAAUAUUCUUAUCUAUUAUUUUGGAGAUUUAUAAUUCUUCCGUUUUACUGGAUGGAAUUUCAAUGAAUUAGAUUCACCAGAAUCACGAAGCCUCUCGUUUCAAUACAAAAAUUGAAACUUUUAGUUCUCGGAUUUUUUUAGCCCCAUUCUAUUUCGGUAGUUCGACCGUGAAAUUUAUUUGUUUUUGUAUUUCUGGAAUAUGAGUGUGAGACUUGUUAUAUUGAUCCUAUUGAUAGUACAAAAAAUGGGUCUGUCAUCUUGAUCGAGAUAGUUUUAUCCUGUCGGAUAGUCAUUCUAGUAUCUGGAGCAUGGAAUAUAUGAAAUGGAUCACAAAGUAUUUGAACUAUGAUUCAUACUUAAUAUUCAAACCUCGCGGCCGGACUCAAAAAAAAUUCGAAGAAAGAGUUAUAUUAUUUAUAAAUCGAAAGAUUUUUUAUUCUUUCAAAGUCUCAUUUAGUUUAUGCUUAUUUUGAUCAAAGGGCAAACCUUUCUUUUCUUUGUAUUUUUAUUUAUUAUAUCUAUUCUAUUGAUUGAAUAAGUGAUGAUCCAAUGGUUCUUACUCAGAAUCUUUGGACUUAGUUUGAAGGUUUUAUUGAAUCAUCGCGGUUCUGGUAUGAAUCUGAAGUUUCAAUUGAUUCAUAUGGUCUUAACAAGAGAAUUCCUAUCAAAAAGAAAGAAAAAAAGAAUAAAGCCACAUUUCAUAUAAAGAACAAAUCAAAGCAAAGAAAAAGAAAUAAGUAGGUAAAUAGAAGAUUUAAGAGGCCUAUAAUGAUCAACAUAAAGACGACUGCGCCGACUUGAUUUUUUGGCAUUAUAAUUACAACUACAAAAAAGAGCUUUUGGAUUUUAACUCUUUUGUGUCUUCAGAUAAAAUUGAAUGAAAAGAUUAAGAAGUUUCAAACUUUCUAUUCCAAAUCUGUUUCAGCUAAUACUUGGGUGUUUUUGUUUGAGCUGUACGAGAUGAAAUUCUCAUAAACGAUUCUCGGGGGGGUCCUCUUGGUUUACCUAUCUCAAUAAAGUCUAUGAUUGGUUCGAAUAGCGCCUCGAAAUUUAGGCUAUUGUAGAUGAUAUAACUAGUAAAUAUGUUCUUCCUCAUGUUAACAUAUUUUAUUGUUUAGGAGGAAUUACGCUUACUUGUUUUUUGGUACAAGCAGCUACAGGAUUUGCUAUGACUUUUUACUAUCAUCCAACAGUUACUGAGGCUUUUGCUUCUGUUAAAUACAUAAUGGCUGAAGCUAACUUUGGUUGGUUAAUCUGAUCAGUUCAUCGAUGGUCGGCAAGUAUGAUAGUCUUAAUGAUGAUCCUGCACGUAUUUUGUAUCUAUCUCACUGGUGAUUUUAAAAAACCUCGCGAAUUAACUUGGGUUACAGGCGUGAUUUUGGGUGUGUUGACCGCAUCUUUUGGCAUAACAGGUUAUUCCUUACCUCAAGACCAAAUUGGUUAUUGGGCAGUCAAAAUCAUAACAGGCGUUCCGGAAGUUAUUUCGGUAAUAGGAUCACCUUUGGUAGAGUUAUUUCAUGGAAGUGCUAGUGUGGGACAAUCCACUUUGACCCAUUUUUAUAGUUUACACACUUUUGUAUUACCCCUUCUUACUGCUGUAUUUAUGUUAAUGCAUUUCCUAAUGAUACGUAAGCAAGGCAUUUCUGGUCCUUUAUAGAGAAUAUAGACCAUAGCUAUAUUGUAACCAAUAAUUUAUCUUAUUACUUGGGGGAGGAACAAUAGUAUUUCAUUGCUACAAAUAUGGAUUAUUGAAAAAAAAAUAAGACAUGCAUUUGGAUAUUUCCUUUCAACUACGACAAUAUUCUAGUAUUUAUUUGAUAUGACAUGAAUAGUUGAAGGGAAUUCCCCGAAGAGAAAAUGAAUUAUGGGAUUGUGUGACUUGAACUAUUGAUUGGGCCGUGUAGAAAUAUGCCUUUGUUUCAACCACUGUGUAAGCCCCAUACAAAGGAUAGGCUGGUUCGCUUGAAGAGAAUCUUUUCUAUGAUCAGACCUGACGAUGUUGUGUAUAAAUAGGGCUCCGUAAGAUCCAGUAGAAUAAGUGAUUUGGCAUAACCAAAAUUAGAUUUUAGUUUUUUCUUUUUUACUUUCUUAUCUUAAUAGUAUGAAAAUGCAUUCAUUUCUUAUGCAUCGACCCGAUUUAAUUAUACUAUCAGCGUGAAACAAGGGAUCUAAAGAAGAGUAAAGGCUAGACUAUAUUAGUAACAAGUAAAUCCUUUGUAUGUAAAAAGUCUCGAUAUAUUUUUGGGAUAAAGGUGAAUCGCAAGGCCUAAGACGACCCAUAAAGCACUUGAUCACGAUCAACUUUGUACGCCUACUUGGAUAUUGAGCAUUUACCUGUAAAAAUGAAAUUCCUUGGAAUGUAUAAUUGCAACUCUGUAAAAUGGAAUCGAGUAACGUUUUUCUUACAUAUGGAAUCAUUCAUAUAUGUGGGGAUAACAUAUAGACUUAUUUUAAACAUAUAGAAUAUAGAUUUAUUUUAUAGGUAUCCGUUUGUAUCCAUUUGAUUCGAUUGACUUUUGCUUGAGCCGAAUGAUGAAAAAUCAUCAUGUCCGGUUCCUUUGGGGGAUGGGUCUAGAAAAAUUCACCUAUCCUAAUAACAAAAAAACCUGACUUGAACGAUCCUGUAUUAAGAGCUAAAUUAGCUAAAGGUAUGGGUCAUAAUUAUUAUAGGGAACCAGCAUGGCCCAAUGAUUUUUUAUAUAUUUUUCUAGUAGUAAUUCUCGGUACUAUUGCUUGUAACGUGGGCUUAGCGGUUCUAGAAACCUUCAAUGAUUGGUGAACCCACGGAUCCAUUUGCAACUCCUUUGGAAAUAUUACCUGAAUGGUAUUUCUUUCCUAUAUUUCAAAUACUUUGUACAGUACCUAACAAGUUAUUGGGUGUUCUUUUAAUGGUUUCAGUACCCGCGGGAUUAUUAACAGUACCAUUUUUGGAAAAUGUUAAUAAAUUCCAAAAUUCAUUUCGUCGUCUAGUAGCGACAACCGUUUUUUUGAUUGGUACUGCAGUAGCCCUUUGGUUGGGUAUUGGAGCAACAUUAUCGAUUGAUAAAUUCACAACUUUAGGUCUUUUUUAUUUUGAAUCAAUUAAAAAAAUCAUGAUGUGCGUAUCUAGGGAGUAGUCACUUCAAACGCAAAGUGAAUUCUCCGUAGAUACAUUUAUUCAAUUCUGGUUCGAAUCUAUGGAUUGUGCUGAAGGUUCAAAAUCCAUUGGAUUAAAAAUUUUGAUAAAUCAAUUUCGAAAUGCUUUUUCUACUUCUUUUCUAGAAUGCCCAAUAUUUGUUUUACAUCUUCUAUGCGAAAGUGUUCAAUUUUCAUAAGGUCUUCUCGACUGUUAUUCAAAGGGUCCUGGGAGGCAAUUAUAGAUCCUGGGAGGCAAUUCUGAUUGGUCAAUAAAAAUAUAUUUUAAUGCUAUUUCUUUUUUCUUUUUUGUUAGUUUAACUAAUCUAUCAUGAAACGGAAAAAAGGUAAAGUAACAUCGUGUUGAUUGUUUUCUAAAUGUAAGUUUUCUUCUUCCGUAUGUAGAAAAGGAAUAAAUAAAUCAAUCAAAUUGCGAGAAGCUUCAUGAAGUGCUUCUUUCGGAGUUAAACUUCCAUUUGUCCAUAUUUCUAGAAAAAGUAUCUCCUGUUUUUCAUUAUCAUUCCCAUAACAAUGAAUACUAUGAUUCGCAUUUCGAACAGGCAUGAAUACAACAUAUAUAGGAUAACUUCCGUCGUGAAAGUUCUUUGGCGUUUUUAUACUAUAUCCUCUAUUUCUCUCGAUUUGUAAUCCAAUACACAAAUCAAUUGGUUCGGUUAGGCUGGCUACAUUCUGUGUAUUAUCAACGAUUUCCACAGAAGGUGGUAAGAUGAUGUCUUGAGCAGUUACAUAUCCGAGACCCUUGGCACAAAUAAAGGCGUUACGAGUUCCAUACAAAUUCCCUCUCAAUACAAUUUCUUUCAAAUUCAUUAAAAUUUCAUGGACUGAUUCUUGAAUACCUACUAUGUUAGAAUAUUCGUGGGGUAUUUUCUCAGAUUUUGCACGUGUAAUGCAUGUUCCUUCUAGUUCUCCAAGCAAAGCUCUUCGCAUCACAAUGCCUAUUGUGUCGGCUUGGCCUUUCAUAAGUGGAGACAGAAUAAAGCAUCCAUAAUAAAGGUGCUUACUAUCUGUUCUUGAUUCAACACACUUCCAUUGUCGUGUCUGAGUCGAAGUAGAGACUUUUACUUUCUCUCGAACCAUAGUAAUAUUAUUUUAUUUGAUCAGAUCAUUGAAUCAUUUAUUUCCCCUGAAAUCUCAUUAGUGUUUAUUUCUACACACGUCUUUUUUUAGGGGUCUACAGCCAUUAUGUGGCAUAGGGGUUACAUCCCGUAUGAAACUUAAUAGUAUACCACUUCUACGAAUAGCUCGUAAUGAUGUAUCUCUUCCGAGACUAGGACCCUUUAUCAUAACUUCUGCUCGUUGCAUACCUUGGUCUACUACUGCUCGAAUAGCAUUUCUCGCUGCGGUUUGAGCAGCAAAAGGGGUCCCCCUUCUUGUACCCUUGAAUCCAUAAGUGCCAGCAGAGGACCAAGAGAUUACCUGACCCCGUACAUCUGUAACAGUAACAAUGGUAUUGUUGAAACUUGCUUGAACAUGAAUAACUCCUUUUUGUAUUCUACGUGCACUUUUUUGUGCACUACUGCGCCCAUUCCUACGUGAACCAACUUUUAGUAUAGGUUUUCCAUAUUUUAUCAUUUCAUAAAGAUAAGUCAGAGAUAUAUGGGUAUAUCCAUUUCAUGUCAAAAUAGAUUUUCUAUUUUUAUUUGUUUAUCGCUUUCUUUAAGAUUAGUUUCUUUUCUUUCAGGAGUUCUUUUUAGGAUAGAAAGAUUAUCCUUGUCUUUGUUUAUGUCUCGGGUUAAAACAAAUUAUGAUAAUUCGUCCCCUCCUACGGAUUAGGCGACAUUUUUCACAAAUUUUACAAUCGGAAGCCCUUAUUUUCAUAGUUGUUAUUCCUUAAUUUUUUCCGAAUUCGCUUAUUGGAAGAAAAUAAGUUUCUUGAAAUUUGAAUUGGAUCCCCCUGAAAGAAAUCUUGAAGUUGAAAAAACUACCUAAUCGUUCAAAUCCUUGUUGCGAAGUCUAUAAAUUAUACGCCCUCCUGGUUGAAUCAUAAAUAGUUCACUUUUGUUGACUCUAUCCCACGUUGGUAAAACUCUAUCGAAACAUAACCUAAAAUCAGAUCUUCAUUAUCUAAAGGAAUCCGGAGUGGGAGUGAUUUACUAAUUAAAUUAAACCUUCAUGAAUCCAUUUUUUUGUUCUUUUAUUCCAGGUAAAACUUCCUUGACGUAUCAACUACCGUAGGGCAAGAGGAGUUCUAUUAGAUAACUCGUGCUUUUCUACAAAUGGAGAGUUUCAGAUACAAUUCGUAUACUAGACAGAUUACCAUAUAUAACACAAAAUUUCUCCAUCGAUUCCUUCUAGUUGAGCCUCCUGAUCUGUCAUUAUACCCCGAGAAGUAGAAAGAAUUACAAUCCCCAUCCCGCCUAAAAUCCUAGGAAUUUGUUGAUAGUUAGAAUAGAUUCGUAGACCUGGUCGACUGAUUAGUCGUAAAUUUAAAAUAUUCCUAUGUGGUCAUUUUCUAUUCCUUCUAUGUCGUAAGGUUAAAACCAAAAAAUAUUUGUUGCGUUCCCGAUGUUUCCUUACGUUAUUGAUAAAACCUUCUCGUAAAAGUAUUUUAACAAUGUUUUUAGUGAUGUUAGUAGAUCCUAUUUGAAUUGUUCCUUUUCUAUUCAUAUCAGCAUUUCGUAUAGAGGUUAUUAUGUCAGCAAUAGUGUCCUUACCCAUGGUAAACUAAAAUUUUUGUUACUCCCAAAUUUUGAUAUAACCAACGUGGUCUUUUUUUUUACUUAGUAAAGGUAUAUACGUGAGACACAAUCUACUAAUUAAUCUAUACCAUUUAAAUACUGUAAAUACUCUAACUAUACUUGGGUCUCAUCUUAUAAUACCUCGGGAGCUAAUAAAACUAUUUUAGUGAAAUUUAACUGUCUCAAUUCCCGGGCGAUCGCACCAAAAAUUCGAGUUCCUUUUGGAUUUCCUUAUUGAUCAAUGACAAUGGCAGCAUUGUCAUCAUAUCAUAUUAUCAUCCUGUUGUCACAUUUGAGUUCUUUACGAGUAUGUACAAUUACAGCUCUGAUCACUUCUGAUCUUUCUAGAGGUGUAUUCGGUACUGCUUCCUUGAUCACAGCAACAAUAACGUCACCAAUAUGAGCAUAUCGGUGAUUACUAGCUCCUAUGACUCGAAUACACAUCAAUUCUCGGGCCCCACUGUUAUCUGCUACAUUCAAAUGGGUCUGAGGUUGAAUCAUUUUUGAAAUCUCUUUUUUCAAUGUAACAAAGGACGAAGAAAAAAAGAAAUAUUGUUUGUCAAAAAAAAAGGAAACUCGCAAUUGUUUUUUUAUUCCCAAGACAAGACUUCUUUCUUUUGGUUCUAUAUUCCUAUCCUGAAAUAAUGAAUUGAGUUUUUAUAGGCAUUUUUGAUGCCGCUAUUGAAAUAGCCUUUCUGGCUAUAUUUUCGGCUACUCCACUCAUUUGAUAAAGUAUUCUACCCGAUUUAACGACAGAUGCCCAAUACUCGGGAGAUCCUUUCCCCGAACCCAUAUGUGUUUCUGUAAGUCUUACCAUAAUGGGUUUGUCUGGAAAUAUACGUACCCAUAUUUUUCCACCACGGUGUACAUUUCAUGUCAUUGCGCGGCGCCCCGCUUCUAUUUGUCUAGAUGUAAUCCAAGUGGGUUCAAGUGCUUGAAGAGCAUAUCUACCGAAACAAAUCCGAUUACCUCGAUAAGAUAUCCCCUUCAUUCUUCCUCUAUGUUGUUUACGAAAUCAGGUUCUUUUGGGGUUAUAGUUGAUGGUUGUUGUUUAUGAAUUCCAUCUCUACUACAGAACUAGACAUGGGAGUUUCUUCUCAUCCAGCUCCUCGCGAAAAAAAAAUGAAUAAAAAAAUAUUUAAUUCUUAAUCUUAAGAUAUACAUGUAGUUAAUGAAUAAUUGAAUUUUGGGAUUCUUUGCUUUGCGAUUUUAUCUGAUCUAUUAGAAAUUUGUAUAUCUUGUUUGGAUCUAUUGGAUAUAUAUAUAAGUAUAAGGAAUUAAACACAGAUUCUAUUUCUAGAUAAUGUCUUAUCUUGGUUUUGUUAUAAUGUUAUAACGAAUCUUUAUUUUGUUUUUUAUCAUAUUCAUAUCAGAUUCAGAUCGACAAAAAUUGAACAAUCAAAUAAAAUUAAACUCAAAUUUUCGCAGGCGAAUAUUUACUCUUUUUCUAGUUUAGUUGUCGGGUUAACCCAUGACCUCUCAGAAUCAGAAUAAAAAGAAAUGCAGUGGUCUCUGGUUUGUUCUGCCAUCCUCUUCGAUAAAUCAUUAGGAUUCGUUUUCAAUAGAAUCCUCCGUAUUCACGGGUUCUGUCAUCCCCAUCGCUCUCGAUUAAUGCUUAGGUCUGAAUUCUCCAAUGGAGCCUUAAUUUAAUAAUUUAAUAAUUAAUAUUUAUUUAAUAAAAUAAAAAUAAAAUUUCUUCUUGAGUCAACCUUCUCAGUCUUUAUUGACUUAAGUUAAGGCUCUUGAUUUUUUCUUCAAUAAACAGAUAUUCAUCUAAUUAUUGAUGAAUCUCUAUUGAUGCUCUAUUACAUUGCUCUUUAUGAGAUGCUUCAUAGACCUUACAUAUUGGAAUCCUAUAUCAUUUCAUUACUAUUUCUGUUUCUCUCUUUCUUUCAUCCUUCUAUUUAUCCACAUACUUUUUAUUUUGCUUCACAAUUUCGAUCUAUUCAUAAUCAGAUUGGUUUUGUCUUUUACUUAAUGCAAAAAAAUUUCAGUUGCUAUAAUGAUAUGACCAAUAUAUCAUAUCUUGAUUGAUUCUUUGGAUCCAGAUAAUCCGAAGCAAUGAGUUGGUUAUUAGUGCUAUAGUUAUUAGCUUAUAUUGUGGUCCGCCCAUUUUUUUUUAAUCCUAAGCCUAAAAAACCCAACGAGUCGCACACUAAGCAUAGCAAUUAUAUCAACUGAUCAAUCAAAUCUUUAUUUAACCUUAUAGAAUUUAGAACUGCUCAUUUUUUUAUUUUUAUGUUCAAUCAAAAAAUCAAAGAAUUUGUCAUUUUUUGUUCUAUUGCAGAAUAGAACGUAAAGACAAGUAGAGUCUUAUUCUUAUUAUUCUUCUUUAUUAAAUAUCCAAAUUUUGAUUCCUAAUACCCCAUAGAUAGUUCGAACUCUAUAAGAGCAAUACUCAAUUUUCAUUCCAAUGGUUUGUAGAGGAACCCUACCUUCUCGAAUCCAUUCGACACGUGCAAUUUCUUUUCCGUAAAUACGCCCUGCAAUUUGUAUUUGAAUUCCUUUUGUAUCCUCUUGCUCAGUUAAUUCAAUAGACUUUUUCAUUACCUUUCGAAAUGAAACUCGAUUCUUUAAUUGUCCGGCUAUAAAUUCGGCAAGAAUAUUAGGGUGCCCAUAAGGAUUUCCAAUUCUUGUAAUAGCAAUGUUGAGUAUUCGGUUCAUACAAUUAAGUUCUUUUUGCACAUUCAUCUGUAGUUCUUCGAGUUUUCAUGGCUUAUAUUCAAUUAAUAAUUUAGGAAAUCCCAAAUAGAUUAUCACCUGAAUUAGAUCCAGUCUUUUUUGAAUCUCUAUACGUGCAAUUCCCUUGACACCAAAAGAUAGUCUCAUAUUUUUUUGUACAUAAUUCUUGAUACAGUCUCUUAUUUUUUUAUCUUCUUGCAGACCCUCAGAAUACUUUUUCGGUUGUGCAAACCAAAGAGAAUGAUGACUUUGGGUUGUACCAAGUCUGAAACCAAGU